rnacentral:lncRNA from 1 species
ACUGAGAUGUAUCUCUCCUUACUUACCGUGGCAAUUUUGCAAUGGGCUUGACAACAACAGGUCGUCACUUGUGCAUUAAGAGAAAGGGUGUCGAUGCUACACCCACAUCCCUUCACCUGUGUAGAAGGCAAAUGGGGCUUGUAGUGGUACAAUGUGAAUAUGUGCUGCCAUCCGAGUAAGGGUGGGCAGCUAUUGCCUGCCUCCAUGGUAUCAUGAAGACGCCUGUUGAUUGGCCUUGUAUAGAGGUGGUGUGGCUAACCUCAGAUCUCGCACAUGGAUACUUGCCUUAAGAACUAUGUAUGCUUUCUAUAUAGUUUUGAUGUUAUUAUUACAGAAAAUGAUGUAGGUAAUGUUGCUUGGCAAUAGCUUGUGGUUCUUGGUGGAAAGUGAGGUUUUAUUGGGCUGUUAAAUCAUUUGGUGUAACUAUGGCUUGGUUCAGCUAUUGAAGGCUGAUUGGUGUGUGGUUGAUUUUUAACCUGUGAUAUCCUGAGGCUUUUGGUUUUGACAUCUGAAAUCGACCCCAACGUGGUUAGUUGGGGAUCCUUUAUUUUAUGAAGUGAUUGUUCAUAUAUUCGUGAUGAUACUGGAGGUGUAUAUGGGCACCUUGUAGGACAACGUUAACUGGUCUGGGUACUUCUAAGCUUGGCCUACUUGCUGUGAUUUAUAACCACACAUGUUGCCUAAGUAUCCUUCCCUGAUUAGCCGGUUGCCACAUGUGUCAAUGGCCUCUCCCGAUGUAUUUGCUAUGUGCAAGGGUAAAUACCAAUCAUUCAAUCUAUGAAAGACCAUUGUUUUCUUUACACAUCCGUUCGGUUCUCAUGAAAUCGACUCUCAUUUGUGUUUGGUUCUCAUGAAAUCGAUUCUCAUUUGUGUUCAACACGUUACUAGCAUCUGUGAUGUUGGUCGAUUAUUUUAAUGGCUGCGUGCGUGCAUCAUAACUUUGGUAUUGCGGCUCUAAUUAAAACUAUGGGAGAACCCUUGCUUAUGGUUUGAUAUCUUUGUUGUUUUCCUAUGGUUGUCUUUAGAAAAGUAUAUUUCCUAUGAUUGUGUCAUGGAAGAAGAAAGAGUUUGAAGAUCUCGAAGAUUUGCUCGUUUCUUUUAGACUUCAUUUUGUAAUAGUUGUAGUCAGCUCAAGUAUCUCUAUCAUGUACAAUUUGGUACUAUAAAUAUAUAAUAUAAAUAUAUCAUUGGCAUUGAUUGUAAAAAAAAGAAAGCAUAUUCUAUCUAUUGGGAGCAAUGCAAGAACUUGAGAAGGCACCCUCAACUAAGACUAGAGGCACUAUGUUCGAGUAACUUACUUUCAACUCCGUUUAUGAAAAAUAUCACUGUAGACGAAAGGGAUUAUUGCAUUAACCACAAAUUAGACGAAGAAAUGAAAUGGCCUAAUGAAAAUUACCGUUUGUUUGAACCAAGAGAUGAAACCGGGAUAGCUGCCUCCAUGCUUUGCCACAAGCUCAUAUUCUUCGAUGAAAUCCUUUUGAAUCACCGCUUCAUACAAGAAUUUGGCGAUGUAUCGAUUGUAUCAAAUUUAUCCGGGAAUAAGAGCAGUUCAAAGGAAUUAGAAGUUGCGAAACAAUGUACCGAGAACUUAAUCGAUGUACGGCUGCAUUUCUGUUAGGUUGGUGAAGAUAUACAACGAAAUGAUCUGCCAUUCUUCGAAAUCCAACGUGCGAGAUCCCCUUUGAAUAUGCUGAGGUUGGAUCCACCCUUUUUAGGGUCGUCAGCAUUUUAGCGAGGCUUCAGAUUAUGCAAAUGACGAUUUUUGGCUUCGUAGUGUGCUGUCACGCAGUUUGCCGCCUCCUCAGUAAUGAAUGCCUCAGCCGUCGAUGCUUCAAUUCUACGUUUAUUUUUUCAUUUUGCUCGUAGCGUCUUCUGCAUCCUCUCAGUUGCGUAGCACCAACAAUUUUUCACGCCCCCCCAAUCUUGCCUUGGUUGGGAGAUGCAAAAUCAAGUGCUACAUUGGAUUAAAGAAGCCACGCGGAAAGAUCUUCUCUAACUUGCAGAUCAACUCCGACGCCAACUCUUCCAUUUCUUCUAGCAGGCCAGGCGAUAGUUUUUUCGCACAAAGAACAUGGAAGAAAUAGCUCAGCUCCGCCAGUACUAGCCAUUCAUCAUGCAACAUCACCGGCAUUACCCGCUCAAUUCAUAUGUGCCAAUCAUGACUCUUGAGACCAAAUAUUUUCAAUUUAUCAAGACCUGCUCCCCUCUUUAGGUUCACUGCAUACCCAUCAGGGAACAUCAACUGCUGUUGCACCCCCAAGAUAAUUUCCCUCAUAGCUGGCCUUCCAAGAUUGAACCAUGCCUUUGGCUUCGUCCAGUUCUGCUUUCCUUUCGGUUCUUGCAUGUUUUGUAACGGUCUAUCACAUAGCGCCUCCAGAUCGACUCUAGCCUUAGUAUUAUCCUUUGACUUCUCGUCUAUGCCGAACAAUGUACCGAAAAGUGCCUCGGCAAUAUUCUUUUCAGUGUGCAUCACGUCGAUGUUGUGUGGGCAAAGGAGGUCUUUGAAGUAAGGCAGAUCCCACAAGCAUGUCUUGUGAGUCCAGGCGUGUUUCGAAUUAUACCCCUUGAAAUACCCUGAACGCUUUGGAUCUGGCUCGAGAGCGUUUAACCGAUCCAGGUUCUAUUGGCCUGUCAAUGCAGGUGGUGCAAAGUUUUUGAAAACUCUACUUUUGAUGAAGUUCUUCUUGUCUUUCCUGAACUUAUGGUGAGGAUCAAGAAACUGUCUAUGCACGUCGAAGCAAGAAAACUUGCGACCGGCCUGAAGCCAACGAAACUCAAGAGCUCCCUUACAUGUGGGGCAUGGGAACCAUCCAUGCACAUGUUGGGGAUCGUAGCAGAAAUUAAAAAAUUUCUACGCAUCACCAAUAUCAAUCUAUGGAGUUUACUAGCAACGAGAGGGGAGUGCAUCUUCAUACCUUUGAAGAUUGCGAUGCGGGAGCGUUGCAAGAACGCGGUCGGUGGAGUCGUACACGAAGCGAUUCAGAUCGCGGCCGAUUCUGAUCUAAGCACCGAACAACGGUGCCUCCGCGUUCAACACAGGUGCAACCCGGUGACGUCUCCCGCACCUUGAUCCAGCAAGGAGAGAGGGAGAGGUUGGGGAAGACUCCGUCCAGCAGCAGCACGACAGCAUGGUGGUGGUGGAGGAGCGUGGCACUCCAGCAGGGCUUCGCCAAGCACUGCGAGAGACGAGGAGGGAGAGGGGUAGGGCUGCGCCAGGAGAAGGGGUGCGGUUGCCCUCCCACCCCCACUAUUUAUAGGGGAAGGGGAGAGGGGGCCGGCCCCCUAGAUCCAGUGACUGAAACUGGACUUCCCAUAUAUAAAUCUUUACCUCCGGACCAUUUCGGAACUCCUCGUGACAUCCAGGAUCUCAUCCGGGACUCCGAACAACAUUCGGUAACCACGUACAUCUAUUCCCUAUAACCCUAGCAUCAUCGAACCUUAAGUGUGCAGACCCUACGGGUUCGGGAGGCAUGCAGACAUGACUGAGACAUCUCUCCAGCCAAUAGCCAACAGCGGGGUCUGGAUACCCAUGUUAGCUCCCACAUGCUCCAUGAUGAUCUCAUUGGAUGAACCACGAUGUCAAGGAUUCAAUCAAUCCCGUAUACGAUUCCCUUUGUCUACCAGUAUAACACUUGCCCGAGAUUCGAUCGUCGGUAUACCGAUACCUUGUUCAAUCUCAUUACGGCAAAUCUCUUUACUCGUUCUGUAACACAUCAUCCCGUGAUCAACUCCUUGAUCACACUGAGCUCAUUAUGAUGAUGUCCUACUGAGUGGGCCCAGAGAUACCUCUCCGUCAUACGGAGUGACAAAUCCCAGUCUCGAUUCGUGCCAACCCAACAGAUACUUUCGGGGAUUCCCGCAGUGUACCUUUAUAGCCACCCAGUUACGUUGUGACGUUUGGCACACCCAAUGUACUCCUACGGUAUCCGGGAGUUGCACAAUCUCAUGGUCUAAGGAAAAAGAUACUUGACAUUAGAAAAGCUUUAGCAGACGAACUACACAAUCUUGUGCUAUGCUUAGGAUUGGGUCUUGUCCAUCACAUCAUUCUCCUAAUGAUGUGAUCCCAUUAUCAAUGACAUCCAAUGUCCAUGGUUAGGAAACCGUAACCAACUAUUGAUCAACGAGCUAGUCAACUAGAGGCUCACUAGGGACAUGUUGGGGCCUAUGUAUUCACACAUGUAUUAUGAUUUCCGGAUAACGCAAUUAUAUCAUGAACAAUAGACAAUUAUCAUGAACAAGGAAAUAUAAUAAUAACCAUUUUAUUAUUGCCUCUAGUGCAUAUUUCCAAUAGUCUCCCACUUGCACUAGAGUCAAUAACCUAGUUACAUUGUGAUGAAUCAAACACCCAUAGAGUUCUGGUGUUGAUCAUGUUUUGCAUGUGGAAGAGGUUUAGUCAAUGGAUCUGCAACAUUCAGGUUCGUAUGCACUUUACAAAUCUCUAUGUCUCCAUCUUGAACAUUUUCACGAAUGGAGUUGAAGCGACGCUUGAUAUGCCUGGUCUUCUUGUGAAACCUGGGCUCCUUGGCAAGGGCAAUAGCUCCAGUGUUGUCACAGAAGAGAGUCAUCAGGCCCGACGCAUUGGGAAUAACUCCUAGGUCGGUAAUGAACUCCUUCAUCCAGAUUGCUUCAUGUGCUGCCUCCGAGGCUGCCAUGUACUCCGCUUCACAUGUAGAUCUCGCCACGACACUUUGCUUGCAACUGCACCAGCUGAUUGCCCCACCAUUCAAAAUAUACACGUAUCCGGUCUGUGACUUGGAGUCAUCCAGAUCUGUGUUGAAACUAGCAUCGACGUAACCCUUUACGACGAGCUCUUCGUCACCUCCAUAAACGAGAAACAUAUCCUUAGUCCUUUCCAAGUACUUCAGGAUAUUCUUGACCACUGUCCAGUGUUCCAUGCCGGGAUUACUUUGGUACCUUCCUACCAAACUUACGGCAAGGUUUACAUCAGGUCUGGUACACAACAUGGCAUACAUAAUAGACCCUAUGGCCGAGGCAUAGGGGAUGACACUCAUCUUUUCUUUAUCUUCUGCCGUGGUCGGGCAUUGAGCCGUGCUCAAUCUCACACCUUGCAAUACAGGUAAGAACCCCUUCUUGGACUGAUCCAUAUUGAACUUCUUCAAUAUCUUGUCAAGGUACGUGCUUUGUGAAAGACCAAUGAGGCGUCUCGAUCUAUCUCUAUAGAUCUUGAUGCCUAAUAUGUAAGCAGCUUCUCCAAGGUCCUUCAUUGAAAAACACUUAUUCAAGCAGGCCUUUAUGCUUUCCAAGAGUUCUAUAUCAUUUCCCAUCAAUAGUAUGUCAUCCACAUACAAUAUGAGAAAUGCUACAGAGCUCCCACUCACUUUCUUGUAAACACAGGCUUCUCCAUAAAUCUGCGUAAACCCAAACACUUUGAUCAUCUCAUCAAAACGAAUGUUCCAACUCCGAGAUGCUUGCACCAGCCCAUAGAUCGAGUGUUGGAGCUUGCAUACCUUGUCAGCAUUCUUAGGAUUGACAAAACCUUCCGGCUGCAUCAUAUACAAUUCUUCCUUAAGGAAACCAUUAAGGAAUGCCGUUUUGACGUCCAUUUGCCAUAUCUCAUAAUCAUGGAAUGCGGCACUUGCUAACAUGAUUCAGACAGACUUCAGCUUCGCUACGGGUGAGAAGGUCUCAUCGUAGUCAACCCCUUGAACUUGUCGAUAACCCUUAGCGACAAGCCGAGCCUUAUAGAUGGUUACAUUACCAUCCUCAUCUAUCUUCUUCUUAAAGAUCCAUUUAUUUUCUAUGGCUCGCCGAUCAUCGGGCAAGUUAGUCAAAGUCCAUACUUCGUUUUCAUACAUGGAUCCUAUCUCGGAUUUCAUGGCUUCAAGCCAUUUGUCGAAAUCCGGGCCCGCCAUCGCUUCUUCAUAGUUCGAAGGUUCACCAUUGUCUAACAACAUGAUUUCCAGGACAGGGUUGCCGUACCACUCUGGUGCGGAACGUGUCCUUGUGGACCUACGAAGUUCAGUAGCAACUUGAUCUGAAGUUUCAUGAUCAUCAUCAUUAACUUCCUCUCUAGUCGGUGCAGGCACCACAGAAACAUUUUCUUGAGCCGCGCUACUCUCCGGUUCAAGAGGCAAUACCUCAUCAAGUUCUACUUUCCUCCCACUUCUUUCGAGAGAAACUCUUUCUCUAGAAAGGAUCCAUUCUUGGCAACAAAGAUCUUGCCUUCGGAUCUGAGGUAGAAGGUAUACCCAAUAGUUUCCUUAGGGUAUCCUAUGAAGACACAUUUUUCCGAUUUGGGUUUGAGCUUUUUAGGUUGAAGUUUCUUGACAUAAGCAUCGCAUCCCCAAACUUUCAGAAACGACAGCUUAGGUUUCUUCCCAAACCAUAAUUCAUACGGUGUCGUCUCAACGGAUUUCGACGGAGCCCUAUUUAAAGUGAAUGCGGCAGUCUCUAAAGCAUACCCCAAAAUGAUAGCGGUAGGUCCGUAAGAGACAUCAUGGAUUGCACCAUAUCCAAUAGAGUGCGAUUUCGAUGUUCAGACACACCAUUAUGCUGAGGUGUUCCAGGCGGCAUGAGUUGUGAAACAAUUCCACAUUUCCUUAAGUGCGUGCCAAAUUCGUGACUCAAAUAUUCUCCCCCACGAUCUGAUCGUAAGAACUUGAUUUUCCUAUCACGUUGAUUCUCAACCUCACUCUGAAAUUCCUUGAACUUUUCAAAGGUCUCAGACUUGUGUUUCAUUAAGUAGACAUACCCAUAUCUACUUAAGUCAUCAGUGAGAGUAGAACAUAACGAUAACCAUCGCGAGCCUCAACGCUCAUUGGACCGCACACAUCAGUAUGUAUGAUUUCCAAUAAGUUGGUUGCUCGCUCCAUUGUUCCGGAGAACGGAGUCUUGGUCAUUUUGCCCAUGAGUCAUGGUUCGCACGUGUCAAAUGAUUCAUAAUCAAGAGACUCCAAAAGUCCAUCUGCAUGGAGUUUCUUCAUGCGUUUGACACCAAUGUGACCAAGGCGGCAGUGCCACAAGUAUGUGGGACUAUCAUUAUCAACCUUACAUCUUUUGGCAUUCACACUAUGAAUAUGUGUAACAUCACGUUCGAGAUUCAAUAAGAAUAAACCAUUGACCAGCGGGGCAUGACCAUAAAACACAUCUCUCAUAUAAAUAGAACAACCAUUAUUCUCAGAUUUAAAUGAGUAGCCAUCUCGCAUUAAACAAGAUCCAGAUACAAUGUUCAUGCUUAAAGUUGGUACUAAAUAACAAUUAUUGAGGUUUAAAACUAAUCCCGUAGGUAAAUGUAGAGGUAGCGUGCCGACGGUGAUCACAUCGACCUUGGAACCAUUCCCGACGCGCAUCGUCACCUCGUCCUUCGCCAGUCUCCGCUUAUUCCGCAGCUCGUGUUUUGAGUUACAAAUAUGAGAAACUGCACCGGUAUAAAAUACCCAGGAGCUACUACGAGCGCUGGUUAGGUACACAUCAAUAACAUGUAUAUCACAUAUACCUUUGGUAUUGCCGGCCUUCUUAUCCGCUAAGUACUUGGGCAGUUUCGCUUCCAGUGACCGUUUCCUUUGCAAUAAAAGCACUCAGUCUUAGGCUUGGGUCCAUGCUUUGGCUUCUUCCCGGCAACUGGCUUACCGGGCGCGGCAACUCCCUUGCCAUCCUUCUUGAAGUUCUCCUUACCCUUGCCUUUCUUGAACUUAGUGGUUUUAUUCACCACCAACACUUGAUGUUCCUUUUUGAUCUCCACCUCCGCUGAUUUCAGCAUUGAAUAUACCUCAGGAAUGGUCUUUUCCAUCCCCUGCAUAUUGAAGUUCAUCACAAAGCUCUUGUAGCUAGGUGGGAGCGACUGAAGGAUUCUGUCAAUGACCGCAUCAUCCGGGAGAUUAACUCCCAGCUGAGAUAUGCGGUUGUGCAACCUAGAUAUUUUGAGUAUGUGCUCGUUGACAGAACUAUUCUCCUCCAUCUUACAACUAUAGAACUUGUCAGAGACUUCAUAUCUCUCGACCCGGGCAUGAGCUUGGAAAACCAUUUUCAGCUCUUGGAACAUCUCAUAUGCUCUGUGCUGCUCAAAACGCUUUUGGAGCCCCAGUUCUAAGCUGUAAAGCACGCCGCACUGAACCAGGGAGUAAUCAUCACUACGCGACUGCCAGACGUUCAUAACGUCUUGAGUUGCUGGGAAAAAAGGUGCAUCACCUAGUGGUGCUUCAAGGACAUAUGCUUUCUUGGCAGCUAUGAGGAUAAUCCUGAAGGAAAUAUGCCCUAGAGGCAAUAAUAAAGUUAUUAUUUAUUUCCUUAUAUCAUGAUAAAUGCUUAUUAUUCAUGCUAGAAUUGUAUUAACCGGAAACAUAAUACAUGUGUGAAUACAUAGACAAACAGAGUGUCACUAGUAUGCCUCUACUUGACUAGCUCGUUGAAUCAAAGAUGGUUAAGUUUCCUAGCCAUAGACAUGAGUUGUCAUUUGAUUAACGGGAUCACAUCAUUAGAGAAUGAUGUGAUUGACUUGACCCAUUCCGUUAGCAUAGCACUUGAUCGUUUAGUUUGUUGCUAUUGCUUUCUUCAUGACUUAUACAUGUUCCUAUGACUAUGGGAUUAUGCAACUCCCAUUUAUCGGAGGAACAUUUUGUGUGCUACCAAAUGUCACAACGUAACUGGGCGAUUAUAAAGGUGCUCUACAGGUGUCUCCGAAGGUACUUGUUGGGUUGGCGUAUUUCGAGAUUAGGAUUUGUCACUCCGAUUGUCGGAGAGGUAUCUUUGGGCCCACUCGGUAAUGCACAUCACUAUAAGCCUUACAAGCAUUGCAACUAAUGAGUUAGUUGCAGGAUGAUGUGUUACGGAAUGAGUAAAGAUACGUACCGGUAACGAGAUUGAACUAGGUAUUGAGAUACCGACGAUCGAAUCUCGGGCAAGUAACAUACCGAUGACAAAGGGAACAACAUAUGUUGUUAUGCGGUUUGACCGAUAAAGAUCUUCAUAGAAUAUGUAGGAGCCAAUAUGAGCAUCCAGGUUCUGCUAUAGGUUAUUGACCGAAGACGUGUCUCGGUCAUGUCUACAUAGUUCUCAAACCUGUAGGGUCCGCACGCUUAAAGUUCGAUGACGGUUAUAUUAUGAGUUUAUGUGUUUUGAUGUACCGAAGCAGUUCGGAGUCACGGAUAAGAUCGGGGACAUGACGAGGAGUCUCGAAAUGGUCGAGACGUAAAGAUCGAUAUAUUGUACAACUAUAUUCGGACAUCAGAAAGUUUCCGAGUGAUUCGGGUAUUUUCAGGAGUAUCGGGGAGUUACAGGAAUUCGUAUUGGGCCUUAAUGGGCCAUACGGGAAAGGAGAGAAAGGCCUCAAAGGGUGGCUGCACCCCUCCCCAUGGGCUGGUCCGAAUUGGACUAGGGAGGGGGGGACCCUUCCUUCCUUCUCCUUUUCCCUUCCCUUUCCUUCCCUCCUACUCCUACUACUUAGAAGGGCUCCUAGUUCUACUAGGAAAAGGGGAAUCCUACUCCCGGUGGGAGUAGGACUCCCCUAGGGCGCGCCAUAGAGAGGGCCGGCCCUCCCCCUCAUCCACUCCUUUAUAUACGGGGGCAGGGGCACCCCAAAGACACAACAAUUGAUCUCUUGAUCUCUUAGCCGUGUGCGAUGCCCCCUCCACCAUAAUCCACCUCGAUCAUAUCAUAGCGGUGCUUAGGCAAAGCCCUGCAUCGGUAGAACAUCAUCACCGUCACCACGCCGUUGUGCUGACGAAACUCUCCCUCAACACUCGGCUGGAUCGGAGUUCGAUGGACGUCAUCGGACUGAACGUGUGCUGAACUCGAAGGUGCUGUGCGUUUGGUACUUGAUCGGUUGGAUAAUGAAAAUGUACGACUACAUCAACCGCGUUGUGCUAACACUUCUGCUUUCGGUCUACGAGGGUACGUGGACAACUCUCUCUCGUCUCGUUGCUAUGCAUCACCAUGAUCUUGCAUGUGCGUAGGAAAUUGUUGAAAUUACUACGUUCCCCAACAGUGGCAUCAGAGCCAGGUUUUAUGCGUAGAUGUCAUAUGCACGAGUAGAACACAAGUGAGUUGUGGGCGAUAUAAGUCACACUGCUUACCACCAUGUCACACUUUGGUUCGGUGGUAUUGUUGGAUGAAGCGGCCCGGACCGACAUUACGCGUACGCUUACGCGAGACUGGUUUUACCGCCGUGCUAUGCACACAUGUGACUAGCGGGUGUCAGUUUCUCCAACUUUAGUUGAACCGAGUGUGGCUACGCCCGGUCCUUGAGAAGGUUAAAACAACACUAACUUGACAAACUAUCGUUGUGGUUUUCGAUGCGUAGGUAAGAACGGUUCUUGCUCAGCCCGUAGUAGCCACGUAAAACUUGCAACAACAAAGUAGAGGACGUCUAACUUGUUUUUGCAGGGCAUGUUGUGAUGUGAUAUGGUCAAGACAUGAUGAGAUAUAAGUUGUUGUAUAAGAUGAUCAUGUUUUGUUGAAGUUAUCGGCAACUGGCAGAAGCCUUAUGGUUGUCUCUUUAUUGCAUAAGAUGCAAGUGCCAAAUAAUUGCUUUACUUUAUCGCUAUGCGAUAGCAAUAGUUGGCGAGAUGACCAUGUGAUGACACAUUGAUAUAGAUCAAGAUGAUGGAGAUCAUGGUGUCAUGCCGGUGACGAUGGAAAUCAUGACGAUGCUUUGGAGAUGGAGAUCAAAGGCACAAGAUGAUGAUGGCCAUAUCAUGUCACAUAUUUUGAUUGCAUGUGAUGUUUACCUUUUAUGCAUCUUAUCUUGCUUUGAUUGACGGUAGCAUUAUAAGAUGAUCUCUCACUAAAUUUCAAGAUAAAAGUGUUCUCCCUGAGUAUGCACCGUUGCCAAAGUUCCUCGUGCCCAGACACCACGUGAUGAUCGGGUGUGAUAAGCUCUACGUCCAUCUACAACGGGUGCAAGCCAGUUUUGCACGCAGAAUACUCAGGUUAAACUUGACGAGCCUAGCAUAUGCAGAUAUGGCCUCGGAACACUGAGACCGAAAGGUCGAGCGUGAAUCAUAUAGUAGAUAUGAUCAACAUAAGUGAUGUUCACCAUUGAAAGCUACUCCAUUUCACGUGAUGAUCGGUUAUGGUUUAGUUGAUCUGGAUCAUGUGAUCACUUAGAGGAUUAGAGGGAUGUCUAUCUAAGUGGGAGUUCUUAAGUAAUAUGAUUAAUUGAACUUAAAUUUAUCAUGAACUUAGUCCUGGUAGUAUUAGCAUAUCUAUGUUGUAGAUCAAUAGCUCGCGUUUAGCUCCCCUGUUUUAUUUUUGAUAUGUUCCUAGAGAAAACUAAGUUGAAAGAUGUUAGUAGCAAUGAUGCGGAUUGGAUCCGUGAUUUGAGGUUUAUCCUCAUUGUUGCACAAAAGAAUUAUGUCCUUGAUGCACCGCUAGGUGAUAGACCUAUUGCAAGAGCAGAUGCAGACGUCAUGAACAUUUGGCUAGCUCAAUAUGAUGACUACUUGAUAGUUUAGUGCACCAUUCUUAACAACUUAGAAUCGGGACUUCAAAGACGUUUUGAACGUCAUGGAUCAUAUGGAUGUUCCAGGAGUUGAAGUUAAUAUUUCAAGCAAAUACCCGAGUUGAGAGAUAUGAAGUCUCCAACAAGUUCUAUAGCUAAAAGAUGGAGGAGAAUAGCUCAAGCAGUGAGCAUGUGUUCAGAUUGUCUGGGGUACUACAAUCGCUUGAAUCAAGUGGGAGUUAAUCUUCCAGAUAAAAUAGCGAUUGACAGAAUUCUCUAGUCACCAUCACCAAGUUAGUAGAACUUCGUGAUGAACUAUAGUAUGGAAGGGAUGACGAAAACGAUUCCCGAGCUUUUCAUGAUGAUGAAAUCGAUGAAGGUAGAAAUCAAGAAAGAGCAUCAAGUGUUGAUGAUUAACAAGACCACUAGUUUCAAAAAAGGGCAAAGGGAAAGAAAGGGAACUUCAAGAAGAAAGGCAAGCAAGUUGCUGCUCAAGUGAAGAAGCCCAAGUCUGGACCUAAGCCUGAGACUAAGUGCUUCUACUGCAAAGGGACUGGUCACUAAAAGCGUAACUGCCCCAAGUAUUUAGCGGAUAAGAAGGAUGGCAAAGUGAACAAUGCUAUAUUUGAUAUACAUGUAAUUGGUGUGUACUUUACUAGUGUUUAUAGCAACCCCUCGGUAUUUGAUACCAGUUCAGUUGCUAAGAGUAGUAACUCGAAACGGGAGUUGCAGAAUGAACAAAGACUAGUUAAGGGUGAAGUGACGUUGUGUGAUGGAAGUGGUUCCAAGAUUGAUAUGAUCAUCAUCGCACACUCCCUAUACUUUCGGGAUUAGUGUUAAACCUAAAUAAAUGUUAUUUGGUGUUUGAGUUGAGCAUGAAUAUGAUUUGAUCAUGUUUAUUACAAAACGGUUAUUCAUUUAAGUUAGAGAAUAAUUGUUGUUCUGUUUACAUGAAUAAAACCUUCUAUGGUCAUACACCCAAUGAAAAUGGUUCGUUGGAUCUCGAUCGUAGUGAUACAGAUAUUCAUAAUAUUGAAGCCAAAAGAUGCAAAGUUAAUAAUGAUAGUGCAACUUAUUUGUGGCACUGCCAUUUAGGUCAUAUUGGUGUAAUGUGCAUGAAUAAACUCCAUGCUGAUGGGCUUUUGGAAUCACUUGAUUAUGAAUCAUUUUGAUGCUUGCGAACCAUGCCUCAUGGGCAAGAUGACUAAGACUCCGUUCUCUGGAACAAUGGAGCGAGCAACUGACAUAUUGGAAAUAAUACAUACUGAUGUAUGCAGUCCGAUGAGUGUUGAGGCUCGCGAUGGGUAUCGUUAUUUUCUGACCUUCACAGAUGAUUUAAGCAGAUAUGGGUAUAUCUACUUGAUGAAACAUAAGUCUAAAACAUUUGAAAAGUUCAAAGAAUUUUAGAGUGAAGUGGAGAAUCAUCAUAACAAAAAUAAAAGUUUCUACGAUAUGAUCGCAGAAGUAAAAUAUUUGAGUUACGAGUUUGGCCUUCAGUUAAAACAAUGUGAAAUAGUUUCACCACUCACGCCACCUGGAACACCACAGUGUAAUGGUGUGUCCGAACGUCGUAACCGUACUUUAUUAGAUAUGGUGCGAUCUAUGAUGUUUCUUACCGAUUAACCACUAUAGUUUUGGGGUUAUGCAUUAGAGACAGCUACAUUCACGUUAAAAGGGCACCAUCUAAAUCCGUUGAGACGACACCGUAUGAACUAUGGUUUGGCAAGAAACCUAAGCUGUCGUUUCUUAAAGUUUGAGGUUGCAAUGCUUAUGUGAAAAAGUUUCAACCUGAUAAGCUCAAACCCAAAUCGGAGAAGUGCCUCUUCAUAGGAUACCCCAAAGAAAAUGUUGGGUACACCUUCUAUCACAGAUCCGAAGGCAAGAUAUUCAUUGCUGAGAAUGGAUCCUUUCUAGAGAAGGAGUUUCUCUCAAAAGAAGUGAGUGGGAGGAAAGUAGAACUUGAUGAGGUAACUGUACCUGCUCCCUUAUUGGAAAGUAGUUCAUCACAGAAAUCUGUUCCUGUGACUACUACACCAAUUAGUGAGGAAGCUAAUGAUGAAGAUCAUGUAACUUCAGAUCAAGUUACUACCGAAACCUCGUAGGUAAACCAGAGUGAGAUCCGCACCAGAGUGGUACGGUAAUCCUAUUCUGGAGGUCAUGUUACUUGAACAUGACGAGCCUACGAACUAUGAGGAAGCGAUGAUGAGCCCAGAUUCCGCGAAAUGGCUUGAGGCCAUGAAAUCUGAGAUGAGAUCCAUGUAUGAGAACAAAGUAUGGACUUUGAUUGACUUGCCCAAUGAUCGGCAAGCCAUUGAGAUUAAAUGGAUCUUCAAGAGGAAGACGGACGCUGAUAGUAGUGUUACUAUCUACAAAGCUAGAAUUGUCGCAAAAAGGUUUUCGACAAGUUCAAGGUGUUGACUACGAUGAGAGUUUCUCACUCGUAUCUAUGCUUAAGUCUGUCCGAAUCAUGUUAGCAAUUGCCGCAUUUUAUGAAAUCUGGCAAAUGGAUAAACAAAACUGCAUUCUUUAAUGGAUUUAUUAAAGAAGAGCUGUAUAUGAUGCAACCAGAAGGUUUUGUCAAUGCUAAAGGUACUAACAAAAUAUGCAAGCUCCAGCGAUCCAUCUAUGGACUGGUGCAAGCAUCUCGGAGUUGGAAUAUACACUUUGAUAAGUUGAUCAAAGCAUAUAGUUUUAUACAGACUUGCAGUGAAGCCUGUAUUUACAAGAAAGUGAGUGGGAGCACUACAACAUUUUUGAUAAGUAUAUAUGAAUGACAUAUUGUUGAUCGGAGAUAAUGUAGAAUUAUUCUGCAAAGCAUAAAGGAAUGUUUGAAAGGAGUUUUUCAAAGAAAGACCUCGGUGAAGCUUCUUACAUAUUGAGCAUCAAGAUCUAUAGAGAUAGAUCAAGACGCUUGAUAAGUUUUUCAAUGAGUACAUACCUUGACAAGAUUUUGAAGUAGUUCAAAAUGGAACAGUCACAAAAGGAGUUCUUGCCUGUGUUACAAGGUGUGAAGUUGAGUAAGACUCAAAACCCGACCACGACAGAAGGAGCAGACCACUGCCUUGUUGAAGAGGACCGACAUCAUCGUCGAGAAACUUAGGGACGAGAAUGCCAUGCUGCGCAUCGAGCGCAGAAGGCUGGUGGAGGAAUCCGUGGAUUCUCUCAACCAGCAUCUUGAGGACAAGAAAGAGCUCGUCGCCGCCCGCCGCGGAGACUAGUUGUCUUCCUUCUUCUUUUGCCCUUGUGUAUAUCGGGCGUUGUCGCAUGUGGCUUUUUUUUAAUUAUGUUUAUAAAUAUGUAAGACAAUUAUUAUCCAAUGUCAUCGUCCUUAUAUUCACCAUGCUUGCUAUAAAGUCGCAGUCGAUGCUAUAUAGGUCCGUUGGAUCUUACAUCAAGAUCUGUGCAAAACUUUCUUUUCAGAUUCUCAUUUUUCUCUUUUAAAUCUCAGUCCAGUGAGACAUAUAGCCACACCGUAGAACAGGUGCUCGGGUGCCAUUAUUGGAGACGUUGGGAGGGAGGUGCGUGUCGGGUAGCGGUCAAAAGGGCUCUCCUCCCGAUGAGCAGGCGCAUGGGUCUGAUCGCACGCCUCCCGUACUCAAAUAGCUACCCCGCAUGGCACCUCCUAGCAACUAAAAAAAGGGGACGUGUGGCUGCACAUAAUUGGUAAGUCAAAUGCCCAUGGUUUCAAUAAUACUUGUGUUUACGAUUUGUAACGUGACAACACUUGUUCCAAAAUGACUUUGUUGAUUGUUAAUGUGUGCGACUUCGCAAAUCAAACAGAAAAAUUACCACAUCAUGUUGGUGCCAUGUCAAGAGAUCAUGCCAAGUUUCAUGAUUUUCAGGUGUGUUUUGGAAUUACUGAAAUUAAAAAACCAAGUUUCUCAAUCUUUCCGGCCGAGCCACAACGCCCAAAUGUUUGAAUUUCACUCCCAUCUCUUGCAUGGGACCUAGAAAUUCACCCAAGGACACACAUGUGAUUUUCAAACAACUUUGGUGCACUGUAGCAUGUGCUUGUAGUUCAAAUUUGAAUUAUACACAUUAAAUGCCCAGAAACUCAAUUAAUGUAUAAAAAAGGCCAAACGAACCUGAAAUAAUUCUAAAAUUUAGCACGAUACUUCUAUUUGGUCUAAUCUUGCUGUGUAAAAAAAAUUAAGGCGGGAGAAGGCAGUGUACGUAUGUCGUUUCACACACGGAGGUGACACAUUCCCUCUUGAAACCACGAGCCUUCUUGAGGGAAGCUUCGGUUUGCAAGAAGCUUACACCAAAGCUUGUCCCAAUUCGGCCAAAAAAAUUACCACAGCAUGUUGGUGCCAUGUCAUGACACUAUGCCAAGUUUCAUGAUUUUCCGGCGUGUUUUGGAAUUACAGGAAUUAAAAAACCAAGUUUCUCAAUCUUUCCGGCCGAGCCAUGACGCCCAGAUGUUUGAAUUUCACUCCCAUCUCUUGCAUGGGACCUAGAAAUUCACCCAAGUACACACAUGUGAUUUUGCAAACAACUUUGGUGCACUGGAGCCUGUGCUUGCAGUUCAAAUUUGAAUUAUGCACAUUUAAUGCCCAAAAACUUAAUUAAUUUAUAAAAAAGGCGAAACGAGCCCAGAAUAAUUCCAAAAUUUAGCAAGGUACUUCUAUUUGGUAUAAUCUGGCUAUGUAAAAAAAUUAAGGCAGGAGAAGGUAGUGUACGUAUGUCAUUUCGCACACGGAGGUGAUAGUUCCCUCUCGGAACCACGAGCCUUCUUGAGGGAAGCUCCGGUUUGCAAGAAGCUUACACCAAAGCUUGUCCAAUUCAGCCAAAAAAAUACCGUUGCAUGUUGGUGCCAUGUCAUGACACCAUGCCAAGUUUCAUGAUUUUAGGCGUGUUUUGGAAUUACAAGAAUUAAAAAACCAAGUUUCUCAAUCUUUCCGGUCGAGCCAUGAUGCCCAGAUGUUUGAAUUUCACUCCCAUCUCUUGCAUGGGACCUAGAAAUUCACCCAAGGACACACAUGUGAUUUUUCAAACAACUUUGGUGCACUGGAGCCUAUGCUUGCAGCUCAAAUUUGAAUUAUGCACAUUAAAUGCCUAGAAACUCAAUUAAUGUAUAAAAAAGGGAAAAUGAGCCCGGAAUAAUUGCAAAAUUUAACAUGAUACUUCUAUUUGGUCUAAUCUGGCUGUGUAAAAAAAUGAAGGCAUGAGAAGGCAGUGUACGUAUGUCAGUUCGCACACGGAGGUCACACGUUCCCUCUUGGAACCACGAGCCUUCUUGAGGGAAGCUCUGGUUUGCAAGAAGCCUACACCAACGCUUGUCCCAAUUUGGCCAAAAAAAUUACCGCAUCAUGUUGGUGCCAUGUCAUGAGACCAUGCCAAGUUUCAUGAUUUUCAGGCGUGUUUUAGAAUUACAGGAAUUAAAAAACCAAGUUUUUCAAUCUUUUCGGCCGAGCCACGACGCCAAGAUGUUUGAAUUUCACUCCCAUCUCUUGCAUGGGACCUAGAAAUUCACCCAAGGACACACAUAUGAUUUUUCAAACAACUUUGGUGCAUUGGAGCCUGUGCUUGCAGUUCGAAUUUGAAUUAUGCACAUUAAAUGCCCAGAAACUCAAUUAAUGUAUAAAAAGGCGAAACGAGCCUGGAAUAAUUCCAAAAUUUAGCACGGUAGUUCUAUUUGGUCUAAGCUGGCUGUGUAAAAAAAUUAAGGCGGGAGAAGGCAGUGUACGUAUGUCGUUUCAAACACGGAGGUGUCACGUCCCCUCUCGGAACCACGAGCCUUCUUAAGGGAAGCUCCGGUUUGUAAGAAGCCUACACCAAAGCUUGUACCAAUUCGGCCAAAAAAAUUACCGCAACAUGUUGGUGCCAUGUCAUGACACCAUGCCAAGUUUCAUGAUUUUCAGGCGUGUUUUGGAAUUACAGGAAUUAAAAAACCAAGUUUCUCAAUCUUUCCGGCCAAGCCACGACGCCCAGAUGUUUGAAUUUCACUCCCAUCUCUUGCAUGGGACCUAGAUAUUCAUCCAAGGAUACACAUGUGAUUUUUCAAACAACUUUGGUGCACUGGAGCCUGUGCUUGUAGUUCAAAUUUGAAUUAUGCACAUUAAAUACCCCAAAACUCAAUUAAUGUAUAAAAAGGCCAAACGAACACGGAAUAAUUCCAAAAUUUAUCAAGAUACUCCUAUUUGGUCUAAUGUGCCUGUGUAAAAAAAAUUAAGGCGGGAGAAGGCAGUGUACGUAUGUCGUUUCGCACACGGAGGUGACACGUUCCUUCUCGGAACCAUGAUCCUUCUUGAGGGAAGCUCCGGUUUGCAAGAAUCUUACACCAAAGCUUGUCCCAAUUCGGCCAAAAAAUUUACUACAGUAUGUUGGUCCCAUGUCAUGACACCGUGCCAAGUUUCAUGAUUUUCAGCCGUGUUUUGGAUUUAUAGGAAUUAAAAAUCCAAGUUUCUCAAUCAUUCCGGCCGAGCCACGACACCCAGAUGUUUGAAUUUUAUUCCCAUUUCUUGCAUGGGACCUAUAAAUUCACGCAAAGACACACAUGUGAUUUUUCAGCAAACUUUGGUGCAUUGGAGCAUGUGCUUGUAGUUCAAAUUUGAAUUAUGCACAUUAAAUUCCUAGAAACUCAAUUAAUGCAUAAAAAUGCCAAACGAACCCGGAAUAAUUUCAAAUUUAAACACGACACUCAUGUACUAGUUGCAUGUUCACUGUAUGUAAAUGUUCUAGCAAUUCAAACACCAUCCUUUCCCUCCAUAACACCAUUUUGUCUUUCAAAACAUAAUGAAAAAAAUCAGGUAUACCACAAACAGUUUACUAGAAAGAAUCGUGUGGGAUGCGAUAUAAAAUAUCUUGGCGCACCGUCUUGUCUGGCUUACGCAGGAAGCUUCGUCGUGUAUAGUCCACCGCCUCCACUUGAACCACACUUGCGCGCCAGUUUCUCGCCGCACCGAGCGAAUUUUUUUGCCACCGCAGAAAUAUCUAUCUCCCCGCCCCUCCCUCCUACCAAAAUCCACAUUUCCACUGUUCCUCCUUGCUUUCCAAGUUCAAACCUUCACUGCUACUUACGGGCAGCUCAGCCUCCUCACCGGCGACCCUUCUUCUUGUAGUACCACCUCCUCGCCAGCUACCCUUCUUCUUGCAGCGCCGCCUCCUCGCUGGCGACCCUUCUUCUUGCAGCGCCGCCUCCUCGCCGGUGACCCUUCUUCUUGCUGCGCGGCCUCCUCGACGGCGACCAUUCUUCUUGCUGCGCGGCCUCGUUGAUAUGGUCAGGUAAUCCACACCCACCCACACCAUCCUCCUCCUUUCCCGUCCCACAUGCCCCGACCGACGGAGCGACACCUUCCACCGAAAUCACUGCCCCUCCUCCAAUUAAGCGCCGCCACAACCAUUUUACACGUAGUAUAACAUGGAGCUGAGUAGCAUGCAGCCGCACACGCGAACAAGGUCGCUAUGGCUGACAUGCGUGUUGACCGCCAGAUCUUGGAGGAGCACCUCGUCUUCGAGGCCACCAUCGACACCACCGCGCAGUUGUCUACUUUAAAAUACAGUUCGUGAUGUUUUCUCGAGGCCAUCGCCAGUGCCUUCUAGUGAUUUGUCCUCUGUAAUGUUAAUAUGCAAUCUGAUGUUCAGUUAACAGUUUGGUCCUCUGAAAUGUAAUGUUCAGUUAACACUUUGGUCCAACAAUUGCUACAUUUCGUAGUACUGUUCUCAAGCAUUCUUUGUUUUGUUAACUGUCUUAUCUUCUCAUACAUGUUUCUACUCUACAAUGUCGUGCGUAGCUAACAAUUUUGGUUCAUUUGGUCUGCUGUCCAUUUAACUGUUUGGUUCAGUUCUGCAAUUUGAUUUUCAUUUGCUGUGGGUACAAUUUUGUAUUGUUAUGCAUGUGGCACCAAUCGAAUUUGGCUGUACUCAAUACACAUUCUACUGAUAGUAUGGCAACUGUCAGUUAACCUGAUCAAAAUCUUCCUUAUGUGUGUUGCAGGGAAACAAUGGGAGACACUGCGGGUUACCAUCGAGGUUUGUUCAAGUAGGGUCCUUUGGCUAAUAGCACAUUAUUGUGCAGUUGCAGGAAUCAUUCUAAUAUUUAUGUUUCUUACAAUUUGAUCUUGCACAUGUAGGUCCAGUAGUCAGAGGCUUAGACCCACUGUUCGACCCAUUUUGCAUAUGGGGAAAUGAGAUGUCCAUGAAUAUCAGUCAAGUCAAGAAACUCAGAAAGAUUGUUAGGAUGAAGAAGCUUGCGACGAAUAAUAGCAAGAUCUUUGUUUGCACAAUGAAGAAGACACCAGUCAACUAUAGGAUGGUACCAACUCUUUUACCUUGUUUUUACCCCUUGCGCCAUUUCAAAAUUUACAACAGCGAUUUAUGCAUAGCUUUGUUUUCAGUACUUUUCAAAGCAGUUCACCGAUGAUUACCUCUCAAACCACCUUCAUGGUCAAGAGGCGAGGAAGGUAUUCAUUCAACACCCACGGUACAAUAUUGAAGUCUUGCUGAAGAGGACGAAGGUUGGGCGGGCAAUUAUCCAUAGCCACUGGCCUAAAGUUGCAAGGACAUUCAACAUCACUGAAGGCUGAAUAUUUGCCUCCCGCUUCUGCAGUUUCCCAGAUGAGAUUCAUCUGUCUAUUUACGGUGUAUGAUGCUACUUUCCAAAGGUUUUUGAUCCUGCAUGUGAAACUUGGUGCUGUUGUGUAAUGGCGUAACUGAGUUCCGAAGCUAUCUGAUGUAAUUUGAUUAUGAAAUCUUGGUUGCUUUUAUACGGAUAUGAAAUAUCUGGCGUGUUUUAUAAGAAAUACCAGUUUGAUUAGUACAUGGAUUAUCAAUAAUAGGAUAAUUACCCUGCUUAUUGGGGUUUUCUAUUGAAAUGGUUACUCAGACAGCACCAUGGGCGAUGAACUCAAACAACCCGCACUGUUUCUAAAAAGUAGGCGUGUUCGAUCAACUAACAAUCACACAUGGCUUCCGGCAGCGAACUAUUUGCGUUAGGCCACAUUGCACAAAUGUUUCCACACAAAGAACUAUGUGGGAUGUACAUACCUACGGAAAUGAUUUUCUAGGAUUCACCGUGUGGGAUGUACAUACAUAUGGAAAUGAUUUCUGGGAUUCACCGUGUGGGAUGUACAUACCUACGGAAAUGAUUUCUAGGAUUCACCAUGUGGGAUGUACAUACCUACGGAAAUGAUUUCUAGGAUUCACCGUGUGGGAUGUACAUACCUACGGAAAUGAUUGGGUUUCCAUGCCUCACCCGAUCGCACACGGGCCCAACCUGGAUCCCACGAGGGCCUAUCCCCGACGAUUUCUGGGUCAUGUGGGAAGGACCCCCUAUUGCCCACACUCACUUGGCAACGGUUCCAAAUGCCGUCAUGGAAAGGGGUUUUAAACCGUUUGUUUAGGACGUUGCUGUACCAGUGUGAGUAUAUAUAGGAGGAAGAUCUUGGUCAGGAGGUCAUCGAGGGGCCCACAAGGUCGGGGGGCGCACUCCACACACCUAGGCAUGCCCUCCACCCUCGUGGCCGCCUCGUGGCUCUUGUGACUUGCACUCCAAGUUUCUUUGGUGUCUUCUGGUCCAAGAAAAAUCAUCGCGAAAGUUUUAUUCCGUUUGGACUUCGUUUGGUAUUCCUUUUCUGCGAAACUCUAAAACAAGGAAAAAAUAGGAACUGGCACUGGGCUCUAGGUUAAUAGGUUAGUCCCAAAAAUCAUAUAAAAUAUCAUAUUAAUGCAUAUAAACAUCCAAAAUAGAUAAUAUAAUAGCAUGGAACAAUGAAAAAUUAUAGAUACGUUGGAGACGCAUCACGCGGCUUGUACGUUAUUUCAAAUGGUAAGAGCUCAAUGGCCCAUUUAGCUAUGCAGUUGGUGGCGUUCCUAUUAUUUACAAUGUCAUUGAGUGGUGCUUCGAAUGCCACCGUUAUCAAACACUCCUGAAGAUAGUGCCGGAGCUUUCGGGAUGCCAUAAAGACCGCGUAAGCUAUCUUUUGAUAGUGAGGAUAUCGGGAUUUUCAUGGUGUAAGGACCGCCGAUACAUAGUAUACUGGAUUCUGGAUGGGGAAUUUAUGUCCCUCUUCCCCUCGCUCGACGGUGAGUACGGCGCUCACUACCUGGUGAGUUGCGGAUAUAUAAAGUAACAUAGGCUCUCCAACACUUGGGGUGGCUAGGAUUGGAUUGCCUGCUAAUAAGGUUUUUAUUUCUUCCAAUCCAACUGUAGCCGCAUCCAUCCAUUCCAAGUGGUCGGUGCGUCUAAGUAGUCUAUAAAGUUCUAAUGUCUUUUCUCCUAAUCUAGAGAUGAAGCGGCUCAAAGCUGCCAUGCACCCUGCUAGUUUUUGGACCUGCUUUAAGUCUGUUGGUAUGGCCAGUUGCGACAAGGCUCAUAUUUUGGUUGGGUUUGCUUCAAUUCCUCUAUUGGAGACAAUGAACCCGAGUAGCUUUCCGGCUGGAACGCUGAAAACACAUUUUUCCAGAUUGAGCCGUAUGUCGUAUGUUCGGAGGUUAUCGAAUGUGAGGUGGAGAUCGUCCACCAAUGAUUCAACGUGUUUAGUCUUAAUGACCACGUCAUCCACAUAUGCUUCCACUUUCUUGCCAAUUUGUUUUUCCAAACAUGUUUGAAUCAUGUGCUGGUAAGUGGCACCGGCUUUUUAAGCCCGAAAGGCAUAGUGUUGAAACAUAAAGGCCCAUAAGGGGUAAUGAACACCGUUGUGGCCUGGUCGGAUUCCUUCAUAUUAAUCUGAUGGUAUCUGGAGUAAGCAUCAAGGAAACACAAUGAGUCAUGUCCCGCGGUCACAUCGAUAAUCUGGUCAAUGCGGGGCAACGGGAAAGGGUCUUUGGGGCAAGCGUUAUUUAGGUCUUUGAAAUUGACACAAAGGCGCCAUGAUUUAUCCUUGUUCGACACCAUGACUAGGUUGGCUAGCCAAUAUGUCGGGGAAAAUAUACCAGGGUAUAUGUUUUCCCCUGACUCGUGCACGGACAAGCCAAGAUCGAGCCAAGAUAUACAAGAAACCAAGAGAUUUGAAGGAUCAACAUGUAGAUCAGAGGGACCGAGAAUGAACCAAGGAAGCAGGAUACUGUCAAGAGAAACGUCUCCCUUGCUGGGCAGGCGAGCCCAGCAAGGGGUGGGGCCACCUCUAGAAGCGGACAACCAAAGCACCCUGGUAGGGCCUGCCGGGGCUCACGGAGGCAAAACCACCUCGCCAACCACUCUACCACGACCCAUGUCAUCGAUCAGUGCGGUGUCAAGCUGCAAAGUGAUUAAGUGGCAGCCAUUCGCCACAUGGUAGCCAUUUCCUACAGGAGAAACCCACAGAUGACACCCAUCAUGCGACAUGUCAAGAGAACAUGUGCGGAGCUGGCAAGAUAGCCCGGCAAGCCUUGCCGGGCACCCAACGAUGUGACGUUAAGCGGUGCAUUUAAUGCACCCUGUUAGCCCGCAGAGUUAAGUAUGAUGGCACUAUUUGCUAUCUUAUCAGUGCGUAAUGACCACUUUGCCACUGUGGCUACCCCUUGAUCUAUAAAAGGAGGCCCAUGGCAACCGUAGAAAGGGUUAGAAGGUUGGAUAACUCACACCCCCAUACGCGCGUAGUCGCUACUACCCCAAGGUGACCCCUGCUCGGCAAGUGUACUACGCUCGACAACACCUUUUCGACCAUCAAUCCACCAAAGCAGGAGUAGGGUUUUACGCCUCACGGCGGCCCGAACCUGGGUAAAUUACCCGUGUGAUCUCUGUCGUGCUGCCCCACGCUCGUCUGCUCUUUGUGCAAUGCAUCAUCCCCCUGCCGAACCAGCAAGGGACCUCCUAGUCCCAUAGGUGGCCGUGGUUUCCCUCGACAUCUUUGGGCGCCAGGGAUGGGGGCGCGCUUGCACGAACCUCAAGGCGUGUGUAGUGCGUCGACUUCAUCACCAUCGUCAUCUUCGAUGACACCAUCGAUCAUGGCACCCAAAGAGACAUAGAAGCAAAGCGGGGCUAUCGUUGCACCAUUUUUGUUGGUCUCCAUGCCUCGCCAUAGCCGCGGUUAUGGCAAAGAUCAUUGCUAGUGGCAAUAUGCCCAUCACGGCGGCCCGUAUGACGUACCCACCAUUCGGAGAAGGGGCACAAGAUGUGCGGGCGCAAGAUCCCUCCUUCCUGUCCCUUCCCCUCGUCAUCAGUCGAACUGCUUCAGCCUCGGCGUCGUUGGUGUCGACGAUUACCGCACGACGCUCGGUCCAGUAUUCCCCCUACUUUGUGUAAUCCUGAGCAGAACACUGGUACAAGUCCGCCGACUGAUGCCUCGGCAAGCAUGCUUCAGUGAGGCUCCUGCAUUGGCACGACCUCUGCAACGGCGGCCGCUGGACUGACUCGAAGGGAAGGGAACAAAAGGGAGAGGAACCAGAGGAUCCGGGUGCUAUGCCCCAAUGCCCGCCACCCGCAAGAAAUGCAUAUCACUUCCUGCCGAGAACAAAGAAAUCACCUGAUUGGCUUAUGCUCCUCCAAGUGCCACGGGCGCGCCCGGGAGCACGGUCUGGAAGAGGAAAAAGGGGGCUCGAAACAAAAACUAAGUUUGCAUUAUCACCUCCUAUUGAUGCCUUUCAAAUCCUCGCAGUCGUUUAUCCCUUAACCCUAGUGAGCAUUCAUAUCGUGAAAGCCCUCAUGCGACGAAACCUUGGCUAUUUUCUUUGAUUGCACCAUCAUCCUGUCUAGAGCCAUGCUCACAGGUUGAGAGGCUGCAUCGAGAGGUACCUAGGAAAAACCUGCCGAGACGCAUCCACGCCAAGAUGACUGUUAAGGGCCAGACCCUUACGACAAUCGCGACAAUAUGAUAUCAGCAGGCAUCCAGAGCAUAUAUAUGAAUUGAUCAUAUGAACGCAAACAUGUAGGGCUCAAAGGGAUAAACACACAUUUAAAAAUCUAGCUAGAAAUACCAGUUUUGCACAAACACUAGAGAUAGAAUAACUAAACGCAAAAUACGUAUCAUGUUCCUUUAUAGAGCGCAGUGGAAACGAUAGUGGCCUGAUACUUGGUCCGGUGUCCAGAAGGAAUAGCUUAAACGCAAAGAACCCUGUUGGCGCGGGGAGUGGCUUUCUUCUCAGCAGCUGCAAUGUCGGCACCCACUGGCGGCUUCUUGAAUCCAUCAUCGAGGUCGAGCUCUAGAUGGCGGCAGAUGAUAUUGCUCAGGACCAUGAAGAGGGCGUUGCGGGCAAGCUUCCGGGACUUGGUCGCGAAGCGCUCAUGCCUCCCCUCUUCAUGCACCUUUAGCCUGUCGAUCAGCUCGUUGAAGAAGAGCCCCAACUUGAUGCUCGGGACCUCCUGCAUGCUAGCUGAGAAGACUGGGCCGCCCAUGACCAUCAUCGCAGCUUGGGCCCCGAGGCGUUCAGCAAUGUCAAUCAUGCUUUUGAUCCAGAGGUUGCUCGUAUCAACCUGAUUCUUCAACCUAUCCUCUGCAUCUUGCCGGAGACGCUUGGCGGUUUCCAAAUCCUUGGAGAACAACUGCUGUCGGGACUCAAGGGACUCCGCCGACCGCUCCAGCGAGCCGAUCCUCGCCUUCAUAUCCGUGAUGUUGCCAUUGGCAAUCUCAAGGCUCUGGGUCUUGGAGGAGAGCUGCGACUGCACAUCAGCCAAGUGGAUCUGUGCCUGCCGAGCUCCCUCUUUGAGUGCCUCCACCUCUUUGGCACUUUUAGUGAGCACCUCAUUCAGCUUAGCCACCUGCCGGUCAAGAUCAAUCUUGGUGGCGGAUGCGGCAUCCAAAUCUUCAGUAAGCUUCUUCAACUGGGCAGCAUGGUCAGUGGCGGGUGUCCAGAGCAGCCCCAUGCUUGUCCUCCAAUUCCUUGGUGUGUUGCUGCACUAGAGCCUCUAAGCCUUCGUCCUUGGCACGGAGGAUGGCUUCGAGUUUCUCCUCCCGAAGGGAGAUCUCUCGCUCUCUAGCAUUUAGAGAUGCCUUGUGAUUCGCCAGUCGCGCCUCCCAUGCUAUGAAAUUCUCCCUCGCCAUCAGGGGCAUCUCUUGCUACCUCACGAGCACCUUAAAUUGCUUGCCGUUCCAGUCGCGCAGCUCCAGGCACCUGUCCUUCAACUUCUAGUCCACCUUGCCGGUGGACUCGCGCCGCUCCUUGAGCUCCUGCCACUUUUGACAGUGCCGGGCCUGCAUCUCCUUCAUGCCUGCCGCCGUGGACGCCAUGAAGGACAAAUCCAUUGUGAUGGCGGCUGAGUCAUCGGCCUCCCUGGCUCCCAAGUAUAUGAUGCCAGGAGGCGCUGGAGCUCUUCAUCGAGCUCCGCGUCCGCUGUCGAAGAUAGACCAGGGGCUCCGAUAUUAGGCAACGCCAACACCAUGGACAAUGUGUUUGAGGAAUACGGCGGGGCCUCAGUGAUGAUCCCGGAGGAGGGAAGUGGGUCCAUGGUUUGGAGGGUGAUUUUCGCCUCGACAACCACUUCCUCUACCGGGGCAUCCUCCAGAGAGUGCUCCACCACCACCAAAGAGGUCUGUGCAUUCUCGGAAGCAAAGUCCUGCCCCUCAGCAACAACAAUCUCCAUGGCCUCAUCCGCGACAGCCCUUCCUAUAUCAGCCACCACCUCCAACAGCUCUGGUUCAUUGGCUUGAGGGGCUGCGCAUGAAAGGGCUAGUUAAUAACGGAGAAAUGAAAGUCUUGAGUAGAUAAAAAAUCAGGAGAACCAACCAGAGCAAGAAAUAAAAGAAGGAAUGAGUGGGGUACCUGGAGAGGUCUGCCGCGUAGGAGCCUCUGUCUCGCCGGCAAUGACCGUUGUCAGGCCGUGAGCUUUGCCCCCUGCCGUGGUAGUCUCAGCAGCCUUCCGCGCAGCUUCAUCCACGAAGUGUUCCGUGGCAAGAUCUUCGGCCUAAGAAGCAGGGGAAGCACGCCCCUCGGGGAGGGCCNNNNNNNNNNNNNNNNNNNNNNNNNNNNNNNNNNNNNNNNNNNNNNNNNNNNNNNNNNNNNNNNNNNNNNNNNNNNNNNNNNNNNNNNNNNNNNNNNNNNNNNNNNNNNNNNNNNNNNNNNNNNNNNNNNNNNNNNNNNNNNNNNNNNNNNNNNNNNNNNNNNNNNNNNNNNNNNNNNNNNNNNNNNNNNNNNNNNNNNNNNNNNNNNNNNNNNNNNNNNNNNNNNNNNNNNNNNNNNNNNNNNNNNNNGUCUUCUGCGUCUUCCCCACCAAGGCCGAGCUCUCCACGCCCUCCAGCGACCCGAGGCAUUGGAGCCUCUUCCGGGAAUGAUGGACGAGGGUCUCCGUGUCCUCCUCCACUUCCCUGCCGGCAACAACAAGAACAAGACGAUUGUUCAGCAAAAGCAUUCAUGCCUACCUAAGGGAUAUCUAUCAAAAAGGGAAAUCUUCCUUAACUCUUCCGCGAUUAGCAUGGAAUUCAAGUUGAACUCCGUGGGAGGAGGAGACUCCCGACCCCUCUGCAGAGACGGAAGGGCGGAACUCCCCGGUAGCUUCGGUGCUUGCCGUGGCGCUAGGAGCUUCGGAGAAGAUGAGCUCUACGAGGAGCUUGAGACGGAGGAGGCCUUGCUCUGGGCCAAAUGAGGGGAUUGGUGGAGGUCUUCUUCACUCUAUUGGUGGCUGGCGUUGGGUUGGAUGUUGCCACCCCUCGAGAUGCGACACGCCUGCGGGUGCACUGAUCUGGGUUCAGUGCGGGGGCUUGCGGUCCAGCCGUGAGCCACUCGUCGUCAGGGGCCACCACCGCAUCCUCCGCCUCCUCCUCUCCCUCUUGAAACUCCGUUGCUACUGUGGCUAGGGUGUCUAGCCCGACAAAAUUGUCCCCGGCAAGCUCUUCUCCGGCAGCAUCUUCCGUGGCUUGUGCCACGCUGCCGUGGGAAGAACUUCCGUCCCCAGCUUUCCUUUUGCCCUUCCUGGCCUCUGUGGCCUUCUCCAUAUCUACACGGCGGGCAGCCUUGUCCGCCUCGACCCUCUUUAGAAUAUAAGCCACCUCCACAGCAGAGGUGUGUUUAUACAUCCCCUCUUCAGUCCUGGUGGCCCUCUCCACCAGGGUGUUCGACCACUGGAGCUCUUCAUCCAAAGUAGGGAGCUGCCAAGUGCCCGAUACCCCUUCAGCAUUGCAGGCCGGCAUCCAUUUCUAUAUCUAGUCCCGGGUAGAAUUGAUGUUUAGAGGCAUGAUGGUUGCCGGGAGCUUGAACAACUCGAAGCGACCAAAUAGUUGGUCACACAACCAGCCAUGACCAUAAACUGACAAGUUAUUGGCCAACCCUGGGAGCAACCUCAUCCUAUCUACAGCGUCACCAUACAGCCACGCAGGUCUGUCCCUUUCCCUGUAGUGGCGAGAUGUGGCAGAGAAGAAAAAUCUGCCGCCACGUGCUUAAUGGUUAGCCCGACAAUCGCCAAAAGGGUAAUCCUGUUGAUUGCCGGGCACAACCUAUCCUCGGUAAGGCCUUUGGCACUCCAAUCCUUGCCGCGUGACGGUGACCUGGACUAGGGGGUACUCACCAUGUCGUCUCCCAAUCAGUUGGAUUAGGCUGAGGACCCCCAUGGCCGUAUGCUCAUGGGCCAGUUCGGACAGCCGAUGUAUACACGAGGAAGAUUCCACAAGACUUGGUGAUCAAGACAAGGACUCCUCUCCACCGGCGUAUUCGACUAGGACUCUUGUUAUCCUAGGCCUCUAGUACAUUAUAUAAGCCGAGGCCAGGCUAGUCAGUAGAUUAUUAUGACAUUACUCAUCAUACCUGUAGGGUUUAGACUACAACAUACGAUCUCGAGGUAGAUCAACUCUUGUAACCCCUAUACUCAUCAAAGUAAAUCAACCAGGAAGUAGGGUAUUACCUCCAUCAAGAGGGCCCGAACCUGGGUAAACAUCGUGUCCCCUGUCUCAUGUUACCAUCGAUCCUUAGACGCACAGUUCGGGACCACCUACCCAAGAUCCGCCGAUUUCGACACCGACAAUGGUGCUUUCAUCGAGAGUUCCACUGUGUGAGCGGCAAAGUAUCAAUGGCUCGCCCGCAGAUCAACUGUUACGCCGACAUCUUCGUCGCCAGCUCGACUGGUCACCUUGGCUCGGCUGAGGACCGCGCUCCAUCUCUGGUCGUCAUGUUUGGACCAGGGCCUUCAUCAACAUCAACUCCGAUCUCUAUCAAGAUCAUGGAGGAAUCGUCCAUGGAGCUCGGGGGCAACGUCAACAUUGCCCUCGGGCGACCGUGCUGUUUUUCCAAACAUUGAACUUGUAUAAGCUGACACCACCUCCUCGAUCAUCGCUUUGAUGAUUCCUUAGGUGGAAUUGGGCGGAAUUGAGUAUACAACAACCAUGCAAAACUUCAUCGAGUUCUAAUGGAGGAAUAUCCAGCAAUCUACGAUAUACCGGAGCCCUGUCAAAUCUCGACGGGAAUCUGGACGAGUUUAUGGCAUGGUCUCUAGCACCCAGCUCGGACGUCCUUUGGAAGAUCCAACCGUUGAACGACUGCGGAAUCCUAUAUCUACCACCCCUCAAAAUUUCAGCUCGAUCCGACCGUCCAAACUCCGAGAACCUUCCGAUUAGUGCAUCACUUUUUGGAUCUGUUUUCUAGCGAAUACAGAUCUAACUAGAAUUCAUGUUUCUUUAUGAACGUGAUAUUGGACAACCUUUUUAAAGGAAUUUUCUUCUACGGUAUUGUGCGUUGUUUCUAACACGUGCCCAUAAAAUUUUAAGCCUUCUUUGAGGCACUCUUCACCAUCGCGCUGGUGUCACACCAGUCCAGUAACAUUGCUCCACGUCUACCGACCUGUGCUAGACAGAUCGUCGCUUCAUCGAGCCGAGCCUAACCUUAUCGGAUCAUUAGCUCGGCAAGCCGAACAAGAGUUCGGCAUCGCGAAGGAUAAAUCAUCACCAACACCAUCGCCUCACAGAUUGCACGGGUCAGGCGCGCCGACAUCGCCGCUCGGUCACUUCAUCAAUCCGGCAUUGACUGCGUCACAAGUUAUGACCGGCGUCGACAUGGCCGCACUGUUGCUUUUUUAAGCCGAUGUCCAUCACACUGAACUGCUUGAACACCUCGACUGACAUGGCAGCUACAAUGUAUCCUUACUAACCCGCUCCGUCAUCUCGGCUAGACCAGUGACUUUGUUAUUUAUUCAUCAACAUACUCCGGUGACUUCGGCGUCACCAGCCGACUAGCUUCAUCACAUUAGCUGGACCGGGGGCUUUGCCUUAGUGAGCCCACCUUUGCCAGCAUCGCCAUGCCGUCGCUUUAUUGCCCAUCAGGCAAUGGGUGUGCGGAUCGAGUCCCAAUUUUCAGAGUAACCUUUCUUCAGAUUGCUACAAUAGAUAAACCAGGAGCUAUUAAUCCUAGUAUUUUUUCUUGCUUGGGUUUACUUUUCCCAAGGAAUUAUUACUCUGGUUUGUUGCAUCAUCUGUAGAUAGGUAUAUCAAAUGGUGGCCGCAUUAACAACGAUCGCGUGGUGGUUUGGUCAGUUUCCAUAUACAAUUCGGCAAAUGCCGCAUCCGGAACUCAGACCGGCCUGCGAAUUCAGGCUUGGCCACGCCUUCACCGCGUCACGCCGACGCCCUGCAUCGAUAUGACUUCGGCGCCAGGCCACAUCUCUUUCAAUAAAUUAUUUUUGCGAAAAGCAAUUAUCCUUUUUGGACCGCACUAUUUUAUGUGUGUAGGUGAUCGACUUGACUGCAUCACGCGGUCACUUUGGCAAGUCGACGUCGUUGUCCCAAUUGGCUUGCGUGAUCACCUUGUUGGUCGAAUCGCCAUAUCGACAUAUUCGGUUGCCUCAGGGACUUUGGCAUCGCUGAGAGAGCUCUACCCCAUCGAGUGUUCGACACACGGGCCAUAUUUCUUUUAUUACUCACUUUAUGUAAAUUAUUAAUUAUGCAACAAUUUAUUAUUAUUAUUAUUCCUAUUAUCUCCGGCUUGCACUAUUUUCUGUGCACACGUAAAGGAUCCGGGUCGGGCAGCGCUGUCACCUCGGCGUACCGACGUACCAUGUCACCUCGGCUGGACCAAGGGCUUCAUCAUUACAACAUUAAGCCACGCUGGGGACUUCAGCGUCACACUGCCGGCCUGCAUUGGCCAUGCUAUGUCGCCACUUUGCAGUGCCAAGCACUUCGCUCUGCCACCUCGGGACCGGCUUGGGGGCUGGGACCUUGUCCCACCGUAAGCUCGGGCCAUGCAUCGACACCGAGCACAUUAACCAGCUAAGUCGCUUCCAUGCUUAAAAACUUUCAGUUUUAAAUUUCGUUCGGUUCGACCAAGCAUUAUGCUUUUUUGACAAAAAGUCAUUUGCGAAAAACUUUCUUUGUCAAAACCUUGUUUGUUGCAAGAAAAUUCAAAUACCCCGUUUACUUGGGGGCUUCCAUUAUGAAGCCUUUCCUCUUGCAUUUGAUUAUACUUGUACGACUUCGUUCCUUGUUCGUGUAUUACGCCACAAUAUGCACCAUGUUGACUUAAGUGUUUCGCAAGCUGGGUUGCCUGGCUCCUGUGCUUACCCCUACGUUCUCGAUUGUUUGGCUAGGCGGUAAAGGGAGCACCUCUGUGAUUGUUACUACCGGGUCAUCCGAGUUAGUACCUCAGACUGGGUGAAGCCGAAAGCUAGCGCUCUUAUUGUUUUCAAUAAUGGUCGGCACACAACGGAACUCAUGAGUACAAAAAAUCUAUUGCAGAAGUCUCAUAGUAACAAUGAGCAACCGAUGAAAGGUAUCGGUGGAGGUACUAUUUUCUUCGAAGAUGCUUCUUACACUUCAUCAGUAAUAUAGCAUAAGUUCCCUGAGCGCGCUUUGUCUGUUACAGCCUUAUGUCCUGAUUGCCUGGUUAUCGGAAACACCGUCGAUGCUUUCGACAGGUGGAGUACAUGACACUUUUCGGUCCUUGACCAAAGAGGGAGAAGCCGAUGGUUGGUUAAUACACAUUUAAAGUUUAGGUGAACACAAAUAUGAUAUAAGUACAUCGGUACAUACAAUCAUUAUACAUAAAAUUCUUUUACCCAAGUCACUUGGGGGCUCUUAAAAUUUAUAUGAGCUGUUUUAUAGUAAAUGUGUUUUCUUCUUGGUCGUUGUAAAGUCUUUUUCUACUGCUCCUUUUUCGACUCGAGUGUAUGGUCAAUAGCCGUAUAGCCUGUCUUCUCUCUAAAAAGCCGCUUGAGUUUAGUUCGCUAAACUGGCCUCGAAGAAGUACUCCGCUUUGGGAUAAGGAGCUCAAAGCCGUAGGCUGGCCCACUUGAAGUGUUGAGAUCGGGUGUGUCAUGUUAAAACACGGCAGAAGCACAAUUUUUUCUUUUUUUCCAAUUUUCGGAUUGGCACCGAACACUUGAUCUUGUUCGGACGUCAAGUUUUUACUGACGUUUUUUGGUUUUCCAAGCUUAUGGCACUUUUAAACUAUUUGUGUGUUUUCAGCACAAGUCUCGCAGUGCAACGCCGGACACCUUUAGAGAUUCGGCAAAACAUUCUCGGAUAUUGCUAAAUAUGCAUCAGUUUCGAAUUGUGUCUUCGGUCAAUAGUUGGGUUGCCCGGCUCCUGCGCUUGCCUCCUACGUUCCGCUUUGUUCGGCUAGGUGUGCAAAGGGAGAACCACUGUGAUUGUGCUUCCAGCUCGCAUGGUUAAGCACCUCAGUGGAGAAAGCCGAAAAUUGACUGUCACAAUAAGCGUAAACUGGUCAGCGAUCCGAUGACUACGUUAAAUGACGGGCCGUUCAUAACAUUGGCCGAAGUGUUUACGGCUUGACCUCGGAUGUCGCCAGACACUAAUCGGGGGCUCAUAGCUAGCUUCCCCAGUUUAAAGCUCCUAUGACUAAGUGAAAGUUAUGAAGCCCGCAUAUCUAAUUGCCCCGUUUCUGCUAACAGAACCGCCUUCGGGCACUGAGAUGUCGGCUAAGGGUUGUCUUGUUAUUGCGGAGACACCUCGUGUAGUAUCUACAAAGGGGUAGAAGCCAAUGAUGGGCCACUUUCAAUUGAUAAUCGGUCGCAACGGAGUCAAAAUAAACAUAUCAUCAUCAUUUGUAUUUAAUAUACAAGGGCUGCCUUCCAUAAUCAUCGUUAUAAAGCCAUAAAUAUGCAUCAAUUUGACUUAAGAUUUUUGCCAAGCUGGGUUGCCUGGCUCCUGUGCUUACCCCUAUGUUCCCGAUUGUUCGACUAGGCGGUAAAGGGAGCACCUCUGUGAUUGUCACUACCGGGUCAUCCGAGUUAGUACCUCAGACUGGGUGAAGCCGAAAGCUAGCGAUCUUAAAGGAUCACAUUGGUCAGCAACGACGAAAGUAAUUUUUUUGGUUCAUUAAUACCACAGAGUUCGGGAACUUUCCCCGAACUAAAUCCUCAAUAUUUUCCUCCCACAUUGAUUGGAGGUGAGGUUUCAUGAUCAUGAUAAGCAUGAUGACCCAAAGAAAGGAACCGAUAGUGGGACUAUUUUCCUUGGAAGAUGUUUCUUACAUUAAGUAAUAUAACAUAUCUCUCCGCGUACCUUUGUUUAUAAAACCGUAUGGCCGGAUUGCCUUGUUUUCCAUAAAUCUUUUCCCUUAUAAUGGCUUUAUAAAGUAGGACAAACACUCCCCGGCUUCUGGAUGAGGAGGUUGAAGCCGAUGGUCGGUCAACAAAGUUUUGUACAAUGCGGAUCCGAGCAUUAAUGAUGUAAAGUACUUGGAUACGUAGAAUCAUUACACAUAAUUUGUGGUUUUACUCUGGAUAUCGAUCCUUAAUUUAGCCACCCGUGCCCACAUUAAGGCUCGGGGGCUACUGGGCUUCGGGCUUAUCAUUCACUAAUAUUGAAAGGGGCGUAUCAAUCCCCUGGUCUGGUGUUUCCACCCGACCAGUGUCUCGGGGGCUACUGCAUUGACAAUCCAAUGAAGAAAAUUUAAAGUGCAAUAUAGCUUUCGAGGAGAUUAUGAUCCUCAGGUUGGUCGGCCGCACCCAACCUGAGUCUCGAGGAAUUUGCACACCGGUUUUUGUGUCCCGAAGUAUUCUGCCGAGCUAGGAGUUGAUCCUCAGGCCGAUUUUGUGAAUCAACCUGAGUCUCAGGGGCUACUGGGAUCAGCGGUCUUAUGUCAUCCUUCAGGUGCAUCUCGGGUUUUAGACCGAUGCACACCUUGAGGGCUACUGGCUAUAUAUCUCAGCAGAGAAUAAAUUGCACCAAUAAAAAAUAUUCACAAAAAAUCGGCCCGCAGUCGGGGUGGCGCACCACCUCGGAAGCAGUCCGACAUAAAGCUUGGGUGCUAGGGGCUGGCUCCAUAGAGGGCAUUUCCGGCAUUAAGCUUGGCUAAACUCCUUCAACUUUUUUGAACCAAGGUGAUUUAUGACACCUCGGAUAUAGUCCGGCGUUGGAGCUCGGAUACAGUCCGGUGUUGGAGCUUGGACAUAGUCCGGCGUUGGAGCUCGGAUACAUUCCAGUGUUGGAGCUUGGAAGCGGUCCGGCGUUGGUGCUCGGCUGCAAAAGAUACCUCGAAUGCAGUCCAGCGUUGGAGCUCGGACGCAAGAGGACGCUGCAGCCCGGGAACAACUUCAAACCCGAGGUGUGGCAUAAAAAUAAAUGGCAUUGAUAAAUGCCGAGAACUUAAAGGGGUGUAACACCCAUGAUGCGGCUAUAUCUCCCAUGUAUCGGAGCACGACUUAGAGGCAUAACCGCAUUGUAGGCAUGUCGCAAGAGGGGUAAUCUUUACACAUCCCAUGUACUGAAUAAGAAAGAGAUACAUAGUUGGCUUACAAUCGCCACUUCACACAAUACAUAAAUAUAGCAUUACAUAAUCCAGAAUACAAUCAAGGUCCGACUACAGAACCAAAAUAAAGAAAGACAACCCCUAAUGCUAGAUCCCCGAUCGCCCCGACUGGGCUCCACUACUGAUCAACUAGAAAACGAAACAAGACAAUGAACACGAUCUUCAUCGAGCUCCUCCUUGAGCUCGGCUGCGUCAUCUGCACUGGUAUUAACAACACCUGCAACUGGUUUUGGAAGUAAUCUGUGAGUCACGGGGAAUCAACAAUCUCACACCCUCGUGAUCAAGACUAUUUAAGCUUAUGGGUAGGAAAGGGUAGUGAGGUGGAGCUGCAGCAAGCACUAGCAUAUAUGGUGGCUAACUUACGCAAAUGAGAGCGAGAAGAGAAGCAAAGCACGGUCGUGAAUCUAGAAGUGAUCAAGAAGUGAUCCUGAAACUACUUACGUUCAAGCAUAACACAAGAACCGUGUUCACUUCCCGGACUCCGCCGAGAAGAGACCAUCAUGGCUACACACGCGGUUGAUGCAUUUUAAUUAAGUUAAGUGUUAAGUUUUCUACAACCGGAUAUUAAAUAAUUCCCAUCUGCCCAUAAUCGCGGGCACGGAUUUCGAAAGUUCAAAACCCUACAGGGGUGUCCCAACUUAGCCCAUCACAAGCUCUGAUGGUCAACGAAGGAUAUUCCUUCUCCCAGGAAGACCCGAUCAGACUCGUAAUCCCGGUUACAAGACAUUUUGACAAUGGUAAAACAAGACCAGCAAAUCCACGCGAUGUGCCGACAAAUCCCGAUAGGAGUCGCACGUAUCUCGUUCUUAGGGCACACCGGAUGAGCCAAACGUCGGGCUGGCAUAGACCCUGGUUGCCCAGGGGGCGCCGGACAUCGCUCAGGUUGGACCAACACUUAGAGAAGCACUGGCCUGGGGGGGGGGGGGUUAAAAUAAAGAUGACCCUUGAGUUUGCAGAAAGGAAGGGCUUAGGUGGCAAAUGGUAAAACCAAGGUUGGGCCUUGCUGGAGGAGUUUAUUCAAAGCGAACUGUCAAGGGGUUCCCAUUAUAACCCAACCACGUAAGGAACGCAAAUCAAGGAACAUAACACCGGUAUGAUGGAAACUAGGGCGGCAAGAGUGGAACAAAACACCAGGCAUAAGGCCGAGCCUUCCACCCUUUACCAAGUAUAUAGGUGCAUUAAUUAAAUAAGAGAUAUUGUGAUAUCCCAACAAUAAUCAUGUUCCAACAAGGAACAAACUCCAUCUUCACCUGCAACUAACAACGCUAUAAGAGGGGCUGAGCAAAGCGGUAACAUAGCCAAACAACGGUUUGCUAGGACAAGGUGGGUUAAAGGCUUGACAUGGUAAUAUGGGAGGCAUGAUAUAGCAAGUGGUAGGUAUCGCGGCAUAACAAAAGAGCGAGCAACUAGCAAGCAAAGAUAGAAGUGAUUUCGAGGGUAUGGUCAUCUUGCCUGCAAAUUCCUCCGAGUUGACAAAGGCUUGAUCCUCGUAAGCAUACUCAACGGGUUCCUCGAACACGAACUCAUCUCCCGGCUCUACUCAAGGCAAGUACACAAGCAAAGGAAACCACAAUCAACCACGGUGCAAUGCGCAAUCAACAUGAUGCAAAACAUGGCAUGAUAUGCGGGAUGUGAAAUGCAAUGCAUAUGCAUACUCCGGAAGGGAAAGAUCGAACCAGGCCUCAACUUGGCAAACCAAGUGCGCCGCUGGAAAGAUGAGUUGAGUUUGGUCAAAAUCGAUAUAAAGAUCACCGGAAUCGGAUGCACGGUUUGCAAAUGGCAAGCAAAACAAGAAUGGCACAAUAUGCGAUUAACAGCACGAUGCCAUCUAGAAUGCAACCAGAAACUAAGCUACUGCACUCCAAUAUUGCAACAAAGCACAUGGCAAAGAUGUACUCAAGAUGCUUGACAAAAGAUGAAUACUGAGCUAUAGCUAAAUCACACAAGAGUAGGUUCAAACAAGCAUGGCAAAAGGGCAAAAGAUAUCAACAUCACAGACUUAGUGAAAAUACUAACAUGUCAGGAUUUAACAUCAGGAAUCAAUGUUUAGAGCAAGAUAACAACAUGCUACAGGAACAGUACAUAGCAAUACAAGUCAUGGCAUGAAUCUACUCAAAGCAUAUAACAAAAGUCGCUUACUGACCAUAAGCCAAAAAGGACCAGAAGAUAUGAUGGCACCCAUGUAAACAUAGCAAGUUUCGUUAACAGAUUCAGACUUGGCAGAAAACUGGACAUGGCAUAAACAGAAUUACAAAGGCAUGUUUGCGAGCUCGACGCACUCAACACAAAGCAUUUCAUGACAAACUAAGCAUACACCCAUCAAGAAGACAUGAUCAAGAAUCUAAACAUGGCAAGAACAAUCUCAUAGCAUGCAUGGAUCAACUACAACAACCUUGGCAAAAUUGAUUAACAUGUAAACAAUCCGCCAGGAACAUUUUAUAGCAAAAGUAGAGCAAGAUUGAGUCAUGCUAGGGUAAUCCAUAAAUGCAAACAUGGACAUGGAUGUAUAGAGCACAACCAUAUGCUCAAAUCAUCCUUACUGAACAUACUCAAAAGAAGCAUGGAUCACUCUGUAGCAACACGAAUACAUGGCAUUAAAAUAACAACAGGGAAAUGACUUAGUGAAAAACUAAGUCUCUGAAAUCAGCAAUAUCACGAGAGCUACUUUGCAUGCUUGUGCUAGUCACCACAUUGAUCACAAAAAUACAUGGCAUACACCCCUGUAAAGAUGGCAUGGCAUAGCCCAAAACACAUGUAGAGCUCAUGACCAUAUGCAGCACACAAUAAUCAUGGCAAAAAUGACAAAAGCUCACAAUCUGAUAAGAAUUAGCACCUAACAUUUUAUAACACUCUUGCAACAGUCAUUAGGGCAUCAAGAUGGACUCAAACAAGCAUGGUGCAAUGGAACAAAAUGAAGAGCUCAACCAGAUGAACAUUUUGAUAUAUUAUACAUGAAAAUGGAUCUACGGAUGAGGAGUUAUGGCACGAUGAAGAUGGCCUGAAAAUAAUGCAGAAAAAGACUUAGAGAAUAUGUGGACCUCCGGAUCUGAGAUCUAGGGUUGGCGCGGAUCCCGAGGUUCACCGGAGUCUUGACGGGAACUGACGUCGGAGAGGAAGGAGAUGACCGAGGCGGUGCGGGGAGGCGGCCGGCGAGGUCGAGGCGGCCGGAUCCGGUCCGGCCCGACCGAAUUUGCGACGCGCGGGCAAUGUUGCGGGGGCGGCGGGCGCGCAGGAGGCGNNNNNNNNNNNNNNNNNNNNNNNNNNNNNNNNNNNNNNNNNNNNNNNNNNNNNNNNNNNNNNNNNNNNNNNNNNNNNNNNNNNNNNNNNNNNNNNNNNNNNNNNNNNNNNNNNNNNNNNNNNNNNNNNNNNNNNNNNNNNNNNNNNNNNNNNNNNNNNNNNNNNNNNNNNNNNNNNNNNNNNNNNNNNNNNNNNNNNNNNNNNNNNNNNNNNNNNNNNNNNNNNNNNNNNNNNNNNNNNNNNNNNNNNNNNNNNNNNNNNNNNNNNNNNNNNNNNNNNNNNNNNNNNNNNNNNNNNNNNNNNNNNNNNNNNNNNNNNNNNNNNAGGCGCGCUGGGGAGGGCGCGUGGCACGACGGGAGUGGCCGCGGGCGAAGCUGGCGGCGGCGCUGGCCAUUGGGGGCGCGACAAGUGGUGGGGAGUGGUGGCCGGACACGUCCGUCGGUGGAAGAAAUGUCCGGCGGCGGCGGGAAGAGGGAGAGUUAGGGUUCAUCCGUGAAAUUUCGGGGAGGCACACAUAUAUAUAUAGGUAGAGGGAGCUAGGAGAGUCCAAAAGAGGUGCGGUUUUCGGCCACGCGCUCGUGAUCGAACGACCGAGAGGAUGGAUGGGGUUUGGAUGGGUUUUGGGCCACUUUGGAGCGGUGUUGGGCUGCAACACACACGAGGCCUUUACAGUUCCUAGUUAACCGUUGGAGUAUCAAACGGACUCCAAAUGGCACGAAACUUGACAGGCGGUCUACCGGUGGCGAACCAAGGCCUCUUGGCAAAUCUCGGUCCAAUCCGAGAACAUUUAACACCCGCACAUGAAAAGAGGCAAAAGGGGGCGCCAUAGGACGUAGGAGUGUCGGAGCGCGAAACGGACAAUGGGGAAAAUGCUCAGAUGCAUGAGACGAACACGUAUGCAAAUGAGAUGCACAUGAUGACAUGAUAUAAAAUGCAUGACGCGCAAACAAAUGACAAGGCAACAAUAGCGAAUAACUGGAAGACACCGGGCGCAAUGGUCUCGGGGCGUUACAAGGGGCUCCUCGGAUACCCGACGUGUAAACUCUUCAGAUUUACUUCGGCGAUCCUCAAGAUCGAAGAUGGGAAGAUUUGUUGAACCAAUUUUCAAGACCGACGACCGAAGAUGAAGAACAGUUCGGAAGAAUCGAGGAGCGUCCCCAACUUGAAGACCGGUUCAGGGGGCUACUAACGGUGUCCUGGACUAGGGGGUAGUCACCACGUCGUCUCCCAAUCAGUUGGAUUAGGCCGAGGACCCCCAUGGCCGUAUGCUCAUGGGCCAGUUCGGAUAGCCGAUCUAUACACAAGGAAGAUUCCACAAGACUUGGUGAUCAAGACAAGGACUCCUCUCCACCGGUGUAUUCGACUAGGACUCUUGUUAUCCUAGGCCUCUAGUACAUUAUAUAAGCCGAGGCCAGGCUAGUUGGUAGAUUAUUAUGACAUUACUCAUCAUACCUGUAGGGUUUAGACCACAACAUACGAUCUCGAGGUAGAUCAACUCUUGUAACCCCUAUACUCAUCAAAGUCAAUCAAGCAGGAAGUAGGGUAUUACCUCCAUCAAGAGGGCCCGAACCUGGGUAAACGUCGUGUCCCCUGUCUCCUGUUACCAUCGAUCCUUAGACGCACAGUUCGGGACCCCCUACCCGAGAUUCGCCGGUUUCGGCACCGACACCGCGCUCGAUGCACUCCUUCUGUGCUUCGCAGAACUCGGGGGCUUCCUUGUCCUGGAUCCAGCACCAAUCCCCUCUCCAUUCAUCCCACCUUUCACGCUGAUUAUCAGGGAGGUAAUCCCUAAUCCUCCUUGCCACGCGUGGCAUCCAGCUGAUGAUUCCGAAAGGUUAACUUUGCUCUCCACCCGCGGGACGAAGUAAUGCCAGAACAGAUCCACAUUGGGCGUCAUGCUGACAAAAUUCUCGCACAAAUGCCUGAAAAUGGCCAUGGUCGCCAUUUCAUUUGGCGUGAAGUCGAUGAGGUGGAACCCGUAGAUGUUCAGGAUUGCCUCGAAGAACUAAGAGAAGGGAAACAGAGGCCUAAGAUGAAGUUAGUGCUGAAGAACCGAUAAGAAUCCGAUGGAUCUUCCUCCCCCGCUUCAUAAACUACGGGUGCUCCAUGCCCUUUCUCAAUGGGCCUCCCCCACAAAUACCCAUACUUUGCUUGAAGAACGGGGCCACUCAAGGUAGAAGGGAUGAAGACGAUGUCUUCGCUCCGUUUCUUGUUUAGCUCAGCCGACCUCUUGCUUCCCUCGCUGGCAGCCUCCUUCGCCGCGGCCGUCGGCUUUCUCUUCUCCGUGGGUUUCUUCCCCAUUCCUGCAGCAACACGAAGGGGGGAGGGAUUCUAUGGGGAGGGCGGCGACAAAAGGAAGAGCGAGGGGAGGAAUUGUCGCUUGGCUUGUGGAGAAAGAAGGUGGGGGAGUGAAGUUGGAGACAAGUGAAUCGUGCCACUUUGUNNNNNNNNNNNNNNNNNNNNNNNNNNNNNNNNNNNNNNNNNNNNNNNNNNNNNNNNNNNNNNNNNNNNNNNNNNNNNNNNNNNNNNNNNNNNNNNNNNNNNNNNNNNNNNNNNNNNNNNNNNNNNNNNNNNNNNNNNNNNNNNNNNNNNNNNNNNNNNNNNNNNNNNNNNNNNNNNNNNNNNNNNNNNNNNNNNNNNNNNNNNNNNNNNNNNNNNNNNNNNNNNNNNNNNNNNNNNNNNNNNNNNNNNNNNNNNNNNNNNNNNNNNNNNNNNNNNNNNNNNNNNNNNNNNNNNNNNNNNNNNNNNNNNNNNNNNNNNNNNNNNNNNNNNNNNNNNNNNNNNNNNNNNNNNNNNNNNNNNNNNNNNNNNNNNNNNNNNNNNNNNNNNNNNNNNNNNNNGCUUCAGAAAGUUGCCAUUUUUCCUUAACUACAACAGUCCAACGACCCCACGAUGCGCAGUAAUUGCACGAAGUGGACGUGGGAUUGACUAGUCACCAUGGCAAACCGGUGUGCAGAGCCAUAUCCUGCCACGUGUCUGUGCAUUUUUUGGGGCCUAACCCAACGUGCCGCGCAACACAUGUGGCUCAGGCCCAGGGGCUUAUGUCGGGGAAAAUAUACAGGGGUAUAUGUUUUCCCUUGACUCGUGCACAGACAAGCCAAGACCGAGUCAAGAUAUACAAGAAACCAAGAGAUUUGAAGGAUCAACAUGCAGAUCAGAGGGACCAAGAAUGAACCAAGCACUACAAAAGAAAUACACUUCCGUGAUGAUACGUGUUUGUCACAGUAGGUCAUGUUUUUGUCAUGCAUGUACGUCCAUGAUGAUUUUAUGACAGAAUCAAGAUUGUCAUACCCGUGCUAUCGUAGAAGUGUUCCACGACAUUACCAAAAUUAUCAUCACGGAAGUGUCCACUUCCGUGAUGAUAAAUCGCGCAUCAUAGAAGUGCUUUCGUCAAGGGUGACCGACACAUGGCAUCCACCAUAACGGGUCGCCGUUAAGCUGUCGGGUUCUGGUUUGGAUCUGAUAAACCAUUAACAGCCCAGACCAAUGGGCAUUUUCCACAUGUAAAAUCAUUAUUGGCUAGAGGAAACACAUGUCGGCUCCUCGGUGGGCUAGAUGUCGUCCGUCCAUUGGAGGAGACAUGCCUAUGAUACGUCGACACGUGGCAGGGCCCAACAGAGGCCGAUAUAGGUUAAAAGGCCGGCCCAGUCAAAGGCCCGUACUACUUACUCAUGUACUAGUGGGCUAGCCCAAUAACAGCCUGUUUAAGAAUGGCCCAUUUACGGCCCAAAACAAGAUCUGGCUCGUCAAUUGUUGGCCGAUUAUUUGGGCCCAAUUAUGGCCCAGUGACUUUCGACCUAUUAGAGGCCCGAUGUAGACAUGGGCCCAUUUCAGCCUGGUGUGUCUUUUGGCCUGGGAAUGGCUCAUGCUGCCCAUGGGCCAUAUAUGGUUCGACGCAACAUCCAGCCCACUAACGUCCCGUGAUAAAUGUAGCAAUAGUUCAGACCAACGUGACUUUGGGCCUGUUAAAGGCCUGUAGUAUAAUUCGGCCCGUUGAUGCCUGUACUAAGCUUUCGACCUCUUAAAGGCCCAUGAUAUCAAUGGGCCAACUAAGGCCUGAGAUAUGUUUCGGCCUGGUAACGGCCCAUCAUAUAACUGGGCCAAAAAAGGACCGGUCUACAUUUCAACCUACCGAAGGCCCGUCGACGACUAGUGAAAAUUGAGGCCCAACAUGCAUUUCGGCCUGCUAAAGGCCCAUGGUUUCUUCUGGGCCGUAAUAGGCCAGCGGAAUAUUCAGCCUGUUAAUGGCCCAAAGCUACAUGGGCCAAACUAAGCGCUGGGUCCACAAAAGUCCCAACUAAAAUUUGUGCCGAAUUUAGGCCGGAGUAAGUUGUCGGCCUGGUGAAAAGUGUCGUGGAAUUGUCACGGCAGAUGUCCUAGUGUGAGGACUUAGUCGUGGAGCCAUCACACUAGGUUAGCUUAAGGGGGUUAAACAGAACAAAGGACACAGGAGUUUAUACAGGUUCGGCCCCUUGCAGUGAAGGUAAAGGACUACUCCAGUUGAGGUGGUAUUGCUUAAGUCUCGAUUACCAGAGAGCGAAUAUGAUUGACCUAGCUUUCGAUUUGUUGUUUCUUGCCCUAAGUCGUGUUGGGUAACGCAGUAAAUUUAAAACUUUUACCUACGCACACGCAACACUACAAAAAAAUACACUUCCGUGAUGAUACGUGUUUGUCACAGUAGGUCGCUUUUUUGUCAUGCAUGUACAUCCAUGACAAAUUUAUGACAGAAUCAAGAUAGUCAUACCUGUGCUGUCGUAGAAGUGUUCCAUGACAUUACCAAAAUUAUCAUCACGGAAGUGUCCACUUCCAUGAUGAUAAAUCACGCGUCACAGAAGUGCUUUCGUCAAGGGUGACCGACACGUGGCAUCCACCGUAACGGAACACCGUUAAGCUAUCAGGUCGGGUUUUGGAUUCGAUAACCCAUUAACAGCCCCGACCAAUGGGAAAUUUCCACGUGUAAAAUUCUUAUUGGCCGGACGAAACACGUGUCAGCUCUUCAGUGGGUCAGAUAGGCGCCUAUGAUAUGUCGACACGUGGCACGACCCAACAAGUUUAAAUGGGCCAGCCCAACUGAAGGCCCACAAGAUUUUGUGGACCAUAAUGGGCCGGCCCAGCUAAAGGCCCACAAGAUUUUGCGGACCGUAAUGGGCUGGCCCAGCUAAAGGCCCACAAGAUUUUGCGCGCCAUAAUGGGUCGGCCCAGGUAAAGGCCCACAAGAUUUUUGUGUGCCAUAAUGGGCCGGCCCAGGUAAAGCCCACAAGAUUCUUGCGGGUCAUAAUUGGCCGGCCCAGCUAAAGGCCCACGAGAUUUCACCGACAUUAAUGGGCCGACCCAGCUGUAGGCCCACAAGAUUUUGAGGACCCUAGUAGGCCGGCCCAUUAACUGGCUGCCAUGUUUUGGGCCAAAUGCCGGCCCAUAUUUGAUCCGGUCCAUUAAUGGCAUGCCACGCUCCGGGCCUAAUAGUGGCCCAUAUGAGAUCCGACCUGUUAAAAGCCUACCACAUUCUGGGCCAAAUUACGGCCCAGAUCAGGUCCGGCCCUUUAAGAGGCUUUGGGCUCAAUUAUGGCCCAUAUCAGAUUCGUACCGUCAACUAGACACUAUACUUUUGGGCUCACUUGCUAAAGGCCCACUUAGUAAUUCGACCUAAUAUUAGUUUUGGCCUGUUAAGUGCCCGUUUAAAAUUUCGGCCCUAUAUUAAUUUCGGCCUGUUAAAAGCCAGUCAUAUAGUUGGGCCAAACUACGGCCCUGUUUGCAUCUGGCCUGCUCGCAGCCAAUAUCUGAUUGGGCCAAACAAGGACCGAGACAAUUUUGGCCUGUUAAAAGCCCGUGAUUUUAUUCGCACAAUCAUGGGUCGGGGUUCAUUUCAUGCUGCUGCGUAACUAGUAUGAAUUAAGAACAAAGCUACUCUAUACAAUAAAGAAAUUACGGCAUAGUAACUUAGAAUAAACCUACACUAUACAAUAAAGGUUUUAAGGUAUAUUACAUCCACUAGGCAUCUAAGUUCACCACCAGUGAUCAUAAAGCGCAACGUAGAAGCAGAUUACAAAAACUGGGCACCAUUGCAGCGUAACAAAAUAAUACUGAACCGAGACCACUUCGAAGAUAGUUCAAGAAAGGUUAGCCUUGCGGGGGAACUACUGUGCAGGCUGUUGAGCAAGGCCAUGAGACCGGCCUAGCAUGUCGGUCAUAGCUUCCAGGUGUAGCUGUUUAGCAAUGAGGUUCUCAUUGGUGUUCUCCGCAAUCUUUCUUAGAGAUAGGACUUCAAGUCGAAGUUGAGUUGCAGAAUGCCUUUCUGCUAGAACUUGGGACUGAAGAAGUCGAACUAAUUCAGACAACGAAUUCUGUGAGCUUGUCUGACUGUUAGUGUCAAGUAACUCGAACACUGCAUCAAGACAAGACUUUGGGGUUGUCUCGCUAUCUUCAAGAUGUUUUGCCUUCUUUGCUGUAAUAUAUGUUGGGUUUGUCUCACAGCCUUCAGCAGACUUGUGCAUGCCAUCAGACAUUCACCCCGAAACAAAGCAGAGAGAUGACAUGUUUUCCACGUGUAUAAACAAAGAUGAUAACUAUUCUGUCAAUUCUAUCCAAUUUCAAAUUAGAAAAUAAAGAGUAUGUUCAAAAUAUCAAUAGCAUAAUUUGGCAUUGUUCAUAAUGCGGGGAGCUUCACCACACUACUGGAUUACCAUGUCAACAUAACAAGCAUAGAUGAAGGGCAAAGAAAAUCAUUGUAUCUAUUUUGGAUAAUGUGCAUGGCAUGUUGUUCAUAUCAUCAGCUACAUCAGUAAGAUAAAACAGGAGAUGACAAGGUGCAAACGUGAGCUGUUUCACCACACACUGGAUUAUAGAUCCACAAAACAAGCAUACAUAUAGGGAGUAUUAAGUAAUGUGCAUGGUAUGAAUAAGGAAUUUGGUUUUACAAGUAAAACUUAGAACUUACGGUUCUUACGAACAUGCAUUUUGGUAGAAACAACAAACUAAACAGCAGUAAACGAUAGGGAGUAUGAGCAAAUUAAACAACAAUUGAGGAUAAAGGCUUUAGAAGGACCGACUUACAUUAACAGUUAACACCGGCUUUAUAAUGCCCUUCUCCAUGUCAAGGGAAGGAUAACUCAAGAAUUUCAGCACAAAAUCUUCUUCAUAAGCAUUGCCUGUACUCUACAUUUUGUAGAGAGUAAUUAUAGAUAUGAUAAUACUGGAAGGGGUAGAGGAUAAUGAAGAUAAGAUGCAGAUUGAUGCUACAUAAUCAACUACCAAUCCCUGGAAGUACAAGCGUUACAGGACAAAAUGUACUGACAAGAGCAAUGGGCUACACUUCUGCACUGGCAUUGUCUGUGUAUUCUACUUGUUGGUAAGAUUAAAUAUAGAUCUGAUCUUUUUUAGUAAAUGGUGGGCGAGGGAGAUAAGAUGCAGAAUGCUACAAAAUGAACCAAUCCCUCUUCCCAAAAUACAAGAGUGUUUUGAACACUGGUGUACAGUACAAAACGUUCUUAUAUUAUGGGACGGAGGGAGUAGCUGUUAAUGUAAGUACAGUGAUAGACCACGUUCAAUCCUUACAAGAGGACUGCAGAGCUAAACCUCUUCAAAAGCAUUGGGUUGAUUCUAAAUUUAUGUAAGAGUCCAUACAGAUGUUAUAAUGUCCACCAAAUGGAUGAUUACGAGGCUAACAUGUGCAGUGAUGCUACAUAAUCAAACAGCUAUGAAAGUAAAUAUGGUCAUACAGGGCAAGAGGUACUCACAAGAGCAAUGCAGUGUGCAGUAUAGUUGCGAGAUUCUGUGGUCCCUUGAGAACGAAUGUUCUUCUGCUAACAGUUUUCGUACAAGUGGGACAUUAAGGCAAAUGCAGAAAUGUAGUUCAAAUUGUGAUGUGAUAUCAUAGACAGUACCUUACGCUGCAGCCGAGACCAAUGUGUAACAAGAUUAUUCCAGUCACCAUCGGAUAAAAGUAGCACCGGAGACUUUAUAGAAAUUUCGUUCAGAGGCUUGCCAUCGAAGUGCGCUUGCCUUAGGUAGGAACGAUACUUCAUCAACGAGUGCUUGAAAAGCGCAACCAACCCUUGCUCGUCAUCACAAUCCAGUUUGCGCCUCGCCUAUUUAAAAGAAUGAAAUCUUGUGUCUUCUGUCAGCAGAAACAUAUGCGGUAAUGAUCAUGAAUAACAUUAGUACAUUACUUACGCGUAAGUUGUGGAGGAAGACUGGAAAUUGUUCUGUGUCUGCGGUAUAAUCUUUCCAUGAGGGAAAGAUGCGCACAAAGUUCCUGACAACAACAUAAGCUUCGUCUUCUGAACUGGGAAGAAAUGGAACAGGGGUCCUAUUUGCUGCAAUUGGGGCUCUCUCUGGUUCGAAAAGGGACUUGGCAACUGGAUUUGGUGUACUCUUUGCUGGAUUGGGGGUUUUGCAUCGUACAGCUGGUGCUAUGUCAACUGGCAUAAUCAUACUGUUUGCUGCAGUUGGGGUCUGCUGAGUUGGGGCAUCAGAAAUGACCAGUAUAGUAGGGCUAGAGUCUGCUAGAGUUGGGGUAUUUUGUGGGUCAGGUGAUAUUGCAACUACACCUAAUGGGCUAUUUGAUUUAUCAGGUGCCACUACCUUUUCCAAGUACUUUGCUUGUGCUCCUCCACGAUCAGCAAUCACCCUCUUCCUUUUGAACGUCUGAUACACAAGAAUAGCAUUUGAAUGGAUAAAUAUGGUAUGAUGACAGAUGGAAUAUGUACUAAAAAUGGAUAGGCAGGCGUAUUCACAUACACGAUGUGUAAACUAAGCUAAUGGCAGUUCAACAAAGUAGAAGCAAUGCAAAGCAUCAGUUGCAAGAUAUGUGCGAACAAUGUAACCUUGGAAAGUUAGAGCAAGUACCUUGAUGGGUGAAUAAGAUAGGGCAUCUUCCUCUGACUCCUCCACUAGGGAGCUACAUUGACUUAGGUCUCCCUGUAGCUCAGAAUCACUGUUAGGAUCAUAUUUUGAGCACGAAUCUGUAGGUGGAGAGUGUUUGCAUUGCAUUGCAUCCAGACUUGAUUUCAGUCCCUUAAUGCCAAGUUUGACAGCCAUGGCAUUGUUCUACUUUAUUCUUUUCAUGCGCACAAGCUCAUAAUCAUUAUGAUGCUGUUCAGAAUCUGAGAUUCAUGAAAACAUAAAAAGUAGCCAGAUUAUCUAUGGAAUGCAUUGCGGUUUCAACUCGGAGAGUGUCUUCCUAUAAACCCAUGCACAUGCAAAGUUCACCUCCCCAACCGUGCUGACCAGACCACACACAGAGAUACACACCCGAGCGGCGAACAUGCAUUUUCGAAACUAAUUUAGGAACAUUUAGCUGACCAAUAAACAACUCUAUUUUAAUAAUAUCAGAUUCGUAUUUGAACAACUAAGCUUGUUUAGCUUGAUGGGUGGAGGAGUGUUAUUAUGAAACGAAGCACGUAUUCUGAUUGUAUAGUGAUCAUAAAAGGGGGAAACCUAAGCAUAUAUUUUUUUAGCAAAAGAGGGUUUCCCCUCUGAUUUCUAUUAAAGAAACCACGACGGAACCAACAUGAUCAGUUAAGCCCUAAGCAUGAUCAAUUAAACCGUAUUAUGGCUGUGCCAUGGCAGAUUUGAAGCUGCAAACCGGAGAAAUGAUAUUUAGCAUCCAUUGUUUGCUUCGAACUAAGAACUAAAUUCUAAGAGCUGAAAAGAAAGUAGAGUAACCAAGUUAAGAUCUAUUUUCUGGUUGAGAUCAAAAAGUUGAGGAGAUAUGAAGUACCACCUCUCUUGCGGCGCCGUGUAGGCAUCGGGGGUGCGAUGGCUGUCGGUGGCGUUGAAGCAGAUCUGCGACGGUAGACAGGUGCAUCGGGGGAUAAGUCCCGUUGCGGUGGAAGAGAAGGUUGUGUGAGCGGCCCCGACAAAGAGGAUGACGGCGCCGAUGAAGCGAGAGGAUGCAAUGCAAGGCUAUUGGUCCAUCACUGUGGAUGAGAAACGUCCAUCUCUAGCAGUGGACGAUGCGGUCUUGGUAGGCGCUCCGGCAUGGUGGAUGACGAUGGCGAUGGAUGUGGUGGAGGAUGGCGGCGAUGGAUGGGGUGGCGGACGGAUGCUGGUGUGGGAAUGGGGUGUUCUAGCGCAGACGGUGUAUGAAUGGGAAAAUGGAGGGAGAGGUACGGGGAACCAUGUUUUUGGGACGUGCCUGUCUGAAAUAUGGGAAAGUUACGAACUUAUCCCCCGUUUCAAAUUUGGACGUCUCGUCGGUUGGAGAUAGGACGGUAAUCUCGCAUCUCCCAAAUAUUUGCCGGUAACUAUUUCGGGCGAGGAGAGGGUGUUUUGCCACCCACGGUUGGCGCCCAUGGUGUAUGAAUGGGGCUGACAGGUAGGGCAGUUGUGUCACGUCUGAUGGAAGUUACACAUCUGCCCCUAUUUAAAAUAUUAGCCUACAUCUAUUUCAGACGAGGAGAGUUUGUUUUGCCGCCCACCGUGUAUGAAUGGGUAAUGGAGGGAGAAACAGAGGUCUUUCGGACGAGCUUGAAUCAAAUGAGUUUUGCCGCCCAUGUUUGACGCCCACCAUGUCGGAAUGGUCUCAGAGGCGGUCGUGUCACGUCUAAUUGAAGUUACUAACCUACCCCUAUUUAGAGCAGUGGAAAUCGGGCCGAUGGAUUGUCCGUGUAAUGGGUAGACAGUAAUUUCCAUCUCCCAAACACUUGGCUUCGGGCAGCCGAUGUGGGAGUGGGCAUUUUGCUGUUUCUUUCAAAUUUUGGGACAAUAAGCAUCCACGUUUACCCUAUCAACUAAAUUCGAAUCCAUUUUGUAUUCCUAUAUGAAUCUUUAUAAAUCAUUCUAUGUGUUUUUUUAUAUCUUCAAAAGGACGACAAAGAUGUAUUCCACUGUCAUACAUGAAUAUGGUUUACAAAUGCCGAUACUCAAAUUCAGAAACUAGAAUCCAGUUUAAGGUGAGUUCGAAUAUUUGGAACACUUCAUGUCCAACUCAAAUGUCACACGCAGCAUAAUGUGUACUCCCAUUUAGAUAUGUACACAAGCGAUGUAUCAAGAUUCAAAUACCGAGUCAAUCAACCAAGAAUGUACAGAACUAACAGACAUAUAAACACUUAUAGAGUAUAUGGAUCAAUAAUAUCAACUAACAUACAUAAGCCAGGCUGCUGUACUUUUUCUUGGCUACAACAACAUCCUUUUUUUAGCCCGCAUCUUGGCCCUUUCUGAUGUGUGCCACUUAUGGUCCAUCUAUGUAACGCCCCGGACACACCCGCCGAUGGUCGUUACUCCUGGCGGGAUCUAGACUGGCCCCACAGAUCAAUACUAGUCUUUUCUGCACACUUUGUCCUCACUCAUGCACACCCGGGAGCAACUUCCCGGUCGGUCACCCAUCCUAACACUACUCCAAGCUGAGCACGCUUAACUUUGAAGUUCUAUCCGAAUGGGCUUCCAGAAAAGAAGGAAUUCCUUAUUGAUAUGAGUAGUCUAUCAUCCCUAAUAAGCCAGGCCAUCACAUACACCCCCACUCAGAGGAACCGACGUCCUCGUCGGGCCACAGGAACGUUCCCUCUUGGCACAUACGUCUGUGCUUCCAGUCCAGUACAUGUGCCAUGCCGUGUGCCACGACGGGUCACAAAUGUCAUGAAAAACAUGACCACGCACCUGUCCGCAACCAUUCGUGUAACCGCGAGGGUCGGCUCUGAUACCAACUUGUAACGCCCCGGACACACCCGCCGGUGGUCGUUACUCCUGGCGGGAUCUAGACUGGCCCCACAGAUCAAUACUAGUCUUUUCUGCACACUUUGUCCUCACUCAUGCGCACCCGGGAGAAACUUCCCGGUCGGUCACCCAUCCUGACACUACUCCAAGCUGAGCAUGCUUAACUUUGAAGUUCUGUCCGAAUGGGCUUCCGGAAAAGAAGGAAUUCCUUAUUGAUAUGAGUAGUCUAUCAUCCCUAAUAAGCCAGGCCAUCACAAUCUAUACUAGUAUUGCUCAAUGCACAUUCAGCCUGAUUGGCAUAUUUGUAGGUUUCGCACAGCAAUCCAAAUGAAAUGUCUCCGAGUCUUAUCAAUUAAUACAGACUUGUGCUCAAAUAAAAUUACAAACAAAAAAACAAAAAAAAACAA